UUUUUUUUUUUUUUUUUUUUUUCUUUUUCCGGUUUUAUGGCACUCGAUUUGGUUUAGUUUUUCGUUCACUUGUUUCUCUGCCCACAACUUGUUUUUGUUGUCCAUAACUCCGAAAUUGUUUUUUUUUUCUCAAAUUCUUAUGUCUUAAACUUUUAGUCCGAGAUCAUUAAAUAAUGAUUUUAGCCUAAUUUUUUUCGGUAACUUUUUGAAAAUAAAAUUUAUGUAGAUUAUUUGAAGUUAUUUUAUGAACAUUUUAAUCCAAAAAAUUUAAAUUCCGAUAAGUAAUUAAAAAUCAUACAAAUACAUAAGUGUUUAUAAAGUUUUAAGUAAAAUUUGAUUUAAAUAAUUUUAGACCUUAAAUUUAAUUUUGGAUUUUCAAAUCUUUUUUUUACCAUUAGAUUUGAUCUCAUUUGAUCACAACUGUUAGAUUAUAAGUAAAAAAAAAUGUUUGAAAUAUAAUAAUUUAGCCAGACUUAAAUCCUGAGGAAAUCUAGCCCAAAUAUGUAUUUUCUCUAUGUGGCUUAUUUUAGCCCAAUGGUUAGAGAUGAUUUGGAAGGGGUUUUAAAGCUUAUAUUUUAAGAUUUAUCCUAUGGGUUGGAUAUGCCUAAGAAUGCUAAAGAAAUCUUAGAAAAUUAGAAAAAGUAAAAUGAGAAAGUUGGAAAGAAGUUUGUUUCCUCUCAACGAAAGAAGAGUCCCUUGGAAAACUAAUGAAAAGGGCUUGAAAACUUUGAGUUUUAAUGAUAAUGACAAAAUAAAGAGUAAAGUGAAUAGUAUCAGGAUUGAUUUUUUAGUGUAAAAAUAUGAUUUUUCGUUAAAGUGAACAAUACCGGGUGCUUUUCAUUAAAGUUCCCUUGUUUUUUUGUGUAGCAGGUCAACUUGAAUGAAACAAAUUUAUAAUCACGUCACGUUCUGCUUCGAUAAUGUCAUGCUAUGUGGAAAUUACAUACACUAAUGCCCUGCGACAAAAACACUGUUCAUAAGCACAGUGAAUUGGCGAAAUAUCCUUAAUUUACUGUACACUUCCCUUCUUAUUUUCCUCAUUUGCACAGUUAAAUGACGAAAAAGGCCUUGGCUCUUUACUUGCUUUUUUCAACUCUUUCAAGUUUCAACUAGAGCCAUUGAAGGGACUCUAACACUUCACCCAGCUCACCGCCUAGCUUUUCCACCGCUUCACCCUGAACACCGCCACCACUGAUUCCUCCAAAUCCAUGAUUUCGCAGAAUCGCACCACAUAACCAGUCAACAACGCAGAGCUCUCUUCGUCCACGGCAACUCAUCGGUCCACCUCAACGCCGCGUGCGCAACAACUAGCACAAUCCCAACCAGCAGCGGCACCCAAACAUUCACCGUCACCUGGGAAGAACAGCAGUAGAACCCAUUUUGCUAAAGGUAAGCAAUAUAUCCUAAUUUAGAAUUCAAAAGUUCCUUACAAAAGCAGUUUAUCUUCUCAAACACAAGGGAAAUUGGCAAGAUAUACGGUAUAAAAAAUUCGGAAAAAAUCUGAACAAGAAAUUUAGGUCCGAGUAUUAAGGAUUGUUUUUGGUUGUGAAAAAGUUUGAUUGAAAGAGUUCCGUCAAAAAGAGGUGAAACGCUGCUCAAUACCCGGUAUGCCUAUCUGAACGUGAUUUUGGGGGUUUUGUGAGAGACUAGGAAUUAUGCGAGCAUUUGGUUUUUAUUUAUGAGAUUUCUAAUUUUGCAUUACGCCUCAAGUUUUGUGCUUGGUUUUCAACGUCUGGUUCUAUAUCAAAAUUGAGUUUAUUAAAACAUGUAUUUUCUUAACUCAAAUUUUAUCAUAUUUCUUGUACAAAAAAUGUAAUUCCAAUCUGAAGUUCUCUGUGACAAUACAGAACAAAUGGGAAAUUUUUUGAUGAGCCCAAGAACAAACAAGUAACAUGAAAAAUAAAAUAAUGUGGGCAAUUUUUGAAACCGUAUAUAUUUAGGACUUGAAAGUCCGUCCUUUUAGUCGUUCAAAUCUACAUUUUUGGUUGCACAUAGAACUUUUAACAUAGAAUUAGUAAAAUACAGAUGCAAACGACUAAACAAUGUGAGAGACUUUUGGAAAUGUAUGUAAUGUAACUUAGGAAUGUUCCCUUUGGAUUGCAAAUAUGCUUUUGAUGUAAAGUAAAUAGAAUGUAAUGUAACUUAAAAAACUACUUUACCCUAUUUGUUUAGUUGUUCUAUUAAUUUAUAAAAUGUUUUGCAAUGAAUGUAUUGCUUUGUGUAUGGUAAUAUACGUGUUUGUCAACGCAGAUAAGCUGUUUCUAGCUUCUGAACAUCAAUUAUUAUUAGGUGCCGUUAUUCAACUUUGUCUCUUUUUUGAGAUAUGAUUCAUAUUUGCUGUAAAAUGUAAAUUAAUUCUGACCAGCAAUUUUACAUUUGAACACUAAUUAUAACCAAUACACAAAGUUUAAUUACCAAGAACUACAAAUAUAAAAAAAAUAAGAUCAGAUGAUAAUUUAAAUGCUGAAUAUAAUAAACUCAUUGACUCCAUAAGUGAUUUAUUCAACAUUAUAGAUGAAUAAUAAAUAUCAUGUAGAUUCAGUUGCUUUCAUUUAUUUUUGAAUAAUUUAAAAAUGAGUGUUAAAUUUUGGUUACGGUUUCAAACCCGCAGUGGAACGCAGGCUUCUUUGCUAGUGUUUUCUACAUAACAUGAUAUUAUUAGAGCCGAACACUGCGUGCCGUAUAUUGUUCCAUAGAGUCCUUGUGAGGAGGUCAUUACUCAUUCUGAACAAAACAAAAAUAAUAAUAAAAAAUAAGGUCAUCAAACAUAGGAAGGUUUUUUGACUUUGGACUUUUGGAUCUUGCAUGAUCCAUCUACUUCGACCAAACCAGAAUUAUGCUGUUUGAAAGAUUACGCGGCCAAUGACAAAAUUAUCAAUGGGAGUCCAGCGACUGAGAUAUUCCAGACUUUUCCAAGAACUCCGAACUCACAGAACUGACAUAUUAUGUUGGUGACUGGUGAGUUUUCUGUUAAGUUGGUUGUUUUAUUUCCAUGUUCUGAAUCUGGAGUGAGAUCUUUCUGUAAAGUUAGUUAUUUCAGUUAAUUGGAAGCAAUCCUUAGCUUUGAUGAAGGUUAUUUUCAUUUCACUGCACUUUAAUGUCUGAAUUUGUUUGUUUGUAUGUUUGUUUAUAACUUUAUAUCAGCGGAGUAGUACACUCCGUUUGAAAGCUUGAUCCUUCAUUGUGCAUUCAAAUCUAAUUUGAAUAAUAUAAUCAAAGAAAAUUAAAGGUGAAUUUGGGUUUAUCGGUUUCAUUUUUCUUUUUCUUGGUAGUUAUUUAAAAUUUAGUUAUUGAAAUCAAUCAAGUUACUCUGUCAAAAUUUUUUGAUUUGAUCUUUCCAUGGAGUUUGGAAAAGGAUUAUUUCGAUAACUUGAUGAAUCUAUAUUUGGGUAUUUAUAGAACUUUUAUGAAGAUGAGAAAUGAAGUUUACUGGCACUUGAUGAUUCCAAUCUUUGGUAAAUAAUUUUGUAAGCUAAUUGAUUGAAGAUUGAAACUUAGAAGCUCAAAAAAAUGUUGUUGAAUUGAGGUACAUCUGUAACAAAUUGGCUGAAGUGUCUAGCUGCUUAUGCCUAUGCAGGUCAUCUAGUUUGCUGAAGCAUCCUCAUGGGAUCGAAUGAGAGGGGAUCCUUACUUUCAGGACUAACAGAUCCUUUGUCUCAAACAAAUAAAAACAAUGCUCCAAAGGGCAGGAGAAUUCGUCGUUGUAGAAGUGCUCCUGUUUCAGAUUAUGUAGCCUUAGAGACAGGCUUACCCUCAGGUCCACAAACCGAUCAGUCCUUUUUCGGAAAUAUACACCCGAGUUUUCGCAUUGUAGCUGCAUUCUUGACUGUCUACCUAGGCUUAGGAACUGUAUGUUUCUACCUAGUCAGGAACCAGCUCAAGGGAGAGAAGACAAAUGGAGUUCUUGAUGCUGUUUAUUUCUGUAUUGUGACAAUGACCACUGUCGGAUAUGGUGACCUUGUGCCAAACAGCGUUCUUUCAAAACUAGUGGCUUGUGCUUUCGUCUUCUCAGGAAUGGCUCUCGUCGUAAUGAUCUUGGGCAAAGCAGCUGACUAUUUGGUAGAGAAGCAGGAAUUAUUGCUCGUUAAAGCCCUACAUACGAGUAAAAAAGUUGGGCAUAUUGAAAUUCUUAAAGAUAUCGAGACAAACAGUCCGAGGUACAAAUGUAUUGUGGUCUUUAUCCUUCUUUUGCUACUCAUAAUUGGUGGCACAAUCUUCCUAGCUACUGUUGAGAAAUUGAGCCUUGUGGAUUCAUUCUAUUGCGUUUGUUGUACCAUCACAACCCUGGGUUAUGGAGAUAAGAGCUUUUCGUCUCAAGCAGGGCGUGCUUUUGCAGUAUUCUGGAUAUUGACAGGUACCAUUUGUUUAGCUCAGUUUUUCCUCUACGUUGCCGAGCUAAACGCCCAAAGCAGACAACGGGCGUUAGUAAAGUUGGUUCUCACUCGUAGGGUGACCAAUGUAGAUUUAGAGGCAGCUGAUCUGGAUGACGAUGGCGUUGUUGGGUAUGUUAAACUUUUCUUCACAAUUGCUUCUGUAGUAUGAGCUUAUUAUUUCUGAAUUCUUAUCUGCUGAUGGUUAACUAACAAAUUUCUCCACUCUUCCUCCUUUCUUUACAUAGGGCUGCUGAAUUUGUCAUAUACAAGCUCAAAGAGAUGGGGAAGAUUAGCCAGGAAGAUGUUAGACUUGUAAUGGAGGAGUUUGAAGAUCUUGAUGUUGAUCAGUCAGGAACGUUGUCAACAUCCGAUAUAAUACUUGCGCAACAACCUCAAAUCAAGAAGUAACUCUGGCACUAUGCUGGUGGCUUUGUAAGUUCGUGAUAUGUAUGAUUACUUAUUCUUGCUGUGGUAUGAAUUUCUUAACUAGGCCAUAUCACAAACACUCCCAUAUAUCUCUUCCUAUAAGGACUUGGUUAAAACGCUUGGAUUGCUUCUAUGUAUUUUACUCAAAUGGAGAUAUAGCGUACAAACAAAUUUUGGUCCUUCGCUAGAUUGACAAAUGCGACUGCUUAGUUCCUUCAAGAAUUUCGCCAGAUGUGGUUCAGUCUGUUUUGUAUUACGACAGAUUUGAAGGUUGUGCAUAUGCGACGAGGGUGCAGUGUGGUGAGGGCUAGUGAAAGCACACAAGGUUUGAUGUACUGAGGCAGUGUAUAAUGAUCAUAGUGGGAAUGUGUACAUUUGUGUGUUAGCAUGUAGACGUAUUUAUCUUCUGUUUUGCUUUAGUAAGACGCUUCUUUUGUGUACACUAUUUGGAGAGAGACUUAAUCAUACGCCAGUGUGGAAUCUCAAACAAAUAAACGUAUGAUAUCCCGUUAUUCGUUUAGAAUAUUACGGUGGUGGUGUACCGGGGGUGUAAGUCCGUCCUCCAUUUUUAGGGUUCUUUGAGUUGUGCCAGGUGGUAGCCUUUCUGUGAUCUGACCUUUCAAGUCAUUGAUUGAUCAUGGCCUAGAAAGAAAGCAAUCCAGGUUUGCAUUGUGAUUCUGUGGAUUAGAUCUGAGCCCAGCAAAAGCAAUGCUUCUAAUGUCAAAAACUGAAAUGAUUGUGGGGCCACCACCAUGUAAUCCCUACACCUUUUGAAUGAUCAUUCAAUUUGUUGAAGGAUGAUAUUAUCUACCCAUUUAUUUUUAUUCCUCACAUAUUUGUUAACUUUUGACCGUCGAAUCAAAUAAAUUAAAAAAAUUAAUAAGAGCAUAAAAAAUAAAAAUAAGGCAUAUGAAUAUCACUACUCUUUCUUGAAAUCUUGCAUUUCAGCCAGAUGGGGAGAUAAUUCAAGGGACGGAUCCAGAAUUAGAUACCAUCACAUCAUAGGCAUCUAAUGCCCACUUAAAAAUGUUUGACAUGUCCCUACAUUACACUUGAUAGAAUAUAGAGUUUCAUUAGGAAAAUGAUCUUUAGGCACUUUGUUUUUUUCCCUUACAAGCUUGUUUGUUAUUUUGACUCUGAAUAAAAUAAAGUGAAAAAAUUUAAAAAAAUUUAAAAAAAAUAAAAGUCUAUAGAAAGAGAAAAACGUGAGCACAUAUUUUUGUUUUCUGGUAUGAUUAACGUAUGUGAUUGAUUAGUAUGAAAGUUGUUCUGUCAACCAUUCCUUUUUCUCCUUUCGGUCGUCCUAAUUGCUUGGUGUGGAAUUUUCACGAACUAUUGAUGUGAAAGUUACCAAAGAUAUCCGCGUCGAUAAGCGAAACUUAUUUACAACUGAGUAAUGUGACAAUUGUUCACGUAAUGACUGUUGUAAGAAUAGUUCCUUGACAUUCCAGAACAUGAAUGUUUCACUUUACAUCAACGGUUGUUACACACCAGCCAUGUUUACAUUGGUGGGUCCAAACUUGAGCUAGUGUAUCCGAUUGUCCAAACCCCAAUAUUGUUACACAUGAAAUGUUUAAUCUUCAUUGGUUUUCUUCUCCAGCAUCGUUAUCACGGGAGCAAGAUGUCCGAUAAAAUACCUUAAAGAGGCCGAUGCACGACAAGGAACGAACUAAGAAAAAAUGGCAUGUGGCCUUAAAUAAUUUUGCAUUUACUCCUAAUUUUUUUUUUUAUAAAUUUGUCAUAACACGUAAACAACUGAUUCUAACAAAUGAUACUCAUACUCGAGAGUUUAGACUAGAGUGAAGUAGCACCAUAGAAAAGAGUGAAGUCGUUGUGCUUAAUACAACUUCCGAGUUUCAAAAACUCGAAAUCUUAUACAUGAAUGUAUUGUAACUUGGAAUUGAAACUCUAUGGUACUACAUUGUCACCACUCACUAAUAGAUUAAUGCAACAAAACCGUGUUGUCGGUGCUUAUGUGUUUGGACUAUUCAGGAAUCUAUGCAUAGUACACUUUAGGGCUUAUCUGUAACUGCAAAAUAAAAGUUCAAAUUAUGCUCACACCGGAUAAAAAAAUUAAAUUAAAUUAAAAAAACUAUAAAAAAUGAAAUGGCAUUAAGUUCACUAGAAGAAAACAAUCUUGCAUGGCAAAAGUGGAACACUAUAUAUAGUGACGUACUACGUCAAUAGUAUAUUAAUGUUUUUUUUUUUCAUUUCACGAUUCUUAUUUAUUGGCAAAAAAACGUAAAUAUAGUUGUGUACCCGUGACUAUUAAAAUAUUGGUGUUGGGAGGAAAUAUCGAUAUGCAAAUAUAGUUGUGUACUCGUGAUCAUUAAAAUAUCGGUAUCGGAAGAAAUAUUGGUAUGUAAAUUUGUGAAAAUAUUCACAGAUAUACCAAAUAUUGAUAUCGGUAUCAAUUGCUUUCGAUAAAAAUAAUGAAAUUUUGGACGAAAUAUAAAAUUUCUCUAAUAUUUAGCAAAUAUUUUAGAAAUUUAACAAUAUAUGUCGACAUAUAAAUUGUUUUUCCACUAAAGCCUUUUCACGUAGAUCACGGUCGUGGACUCGUGGGUGACUUUGGAGUAGCCCCGCACUCAUCAGAUCCAAUUCAAUCUUCACCAAUGCCACACUGCCACCAGACCAAACAUUCCAAGCCUCUUCUCAUUUUGAAUAACAAUGGCAGAUAAUGGGUAAAUUUAUUUAUUUUUAUUUUUAUUUUUAUUUUUAUUUUUGAAAAGAGAUGGUGACUUUACUCCAGCAGUCCACACCUUUGAGAAUCGAAAAAAAUCAUAGAGGCAUGUUAACCUCCCCUAACCAUGAUUGUGCAAUUCACCAGCAUCAUGAUUCGAAAAACGUGCCAUGUGAAAUACGAAACUAGAAUUCAUCUCCAAACAUUGAUCAUUGCUUUUUCCUCAUUCCGCACUUUUCAAUUUAUUUAUAUUAAGUGAUUAUUCUUUAAUUUAUUUAAUCAAAAGGCUAUAAAAUAAUAAGAAAUGUGCUUAAGAAAUAAAUAGAUCGUACCCAAUGCAUAAUACUCCCGUUUUACGCGGGAUCUGAAAGAGGUUAAGUGAUUAUUCUUUAAUUUAUUUCUUAAGAAAUGUGCUUAAGAAAUAAAUGAGUGUACAAAAAUUAUUUUCUCAGUGUUCUUAAACCAAUCGGCUUGGACAUUGUUGUACCUAAAUUCGAAUCAUUCUUACAACAAAUCAAACUAUUUUAGAAUAUCUUCUUGUCAACUAUACCCAAUAUUGAAAGAUUAAACCCUUUGAAAUUGCUUGAUCCGAUAUUAUCAACAUUAAACCCAAUUCCUAGUGAAAAAUCAUGAACUCAUAAGAUUAAUAGUUGGAUCUAAAAAAUAAAUCAAGCUAACAAUAUUAAAAGAAAACAAAAUUAAAAGGGACACAUACGUCAUUGAUGGCAUUAUUCUUCCCAGAAUUUUACAGUUGACAGUUUUGUCAUCCACAAACCAAGGGGAAGAGUUAGAAAUUACAGAGAUAACAAAAUACAAAAUACAAAAUACCAAAAAAAAUUACAGUUCUGGUUCUUUUUCCUCGACUACUUUACUGCUCUGCUGCUUCUCGGAUUUGUAACUUUCUACGAUAUGGUCCGGUUGCCCGGCUACAUAAUCCAGGAGCCCUUCACCGGGUUUGUCACCGGAAGCUUCGGAACCCGGCAACGUGGUCUUCCCGAAGACGACGACGGCGAAGAGGAAGAGCGCGGUGGAGAGAAAGAGGGGCCAGAAGUAGGCCAAAAGGGUCAGAAAUCUGGGAGCUAUUAGGGUUAGGGAGUAGAGGGCAAGGCAGAAAAGGAGGGCAAAGAGGAAGUGGAACUUGAACUUGACAAGCUUUUCUGGAAUCUCCAUGAGUUGAGUUUUGAGAGGGGAUUGAAGUUUUGAGUUCGAUUUUGUAGAGAGAGAGAGAGAGAGAGAUUGUGGGGAGGUAAUCGCGCUCACUGAUUGCAGAGAUUCUCUGAAGGAGAAAGGCUGUGUCUCCUGAGCUUUGUUUUGGAGUGAGUAAAAUGGUUUAUUUUUCUACAAGGGUAAUAAUCCUUUCAUCUAUGUUAAUGGUAUUCACACGUCACUUUUACUUCUCACAUAUUUUUAUUAGUUUUUUUGCAUUAAUUUUUUUCAAUUUAUUUGAGACUGUAGAAAAUUUUAUGAGUUGUGUGAAAGGAAAAAAAAAAGUGUGUGGAUAGCACAAUCCAUCUUUUUAUGGUAAUUACCUUGCACUUUGUUUACCAAAAUGCCCAUCAAGUGUCGAGGGAUUUUCUAAGCCACUCAAAGUAUUUGAUACUUGGUGUUUUUCAACCGCUAGAUUUUAAGUUAGAAACACAAAAUUAAGAUUUAACAGUUUAAAAUUUUAAAUUAUUGUGUACUCUAGAGCACCAUAAAAUUUUUACGAAGUUUUUGUAAUGAUAAGGGCUUUGAGGUAGUUCAGAUAGAGUCGGACUCCAAAUGUCUAGUGGAUAUGUUUAACGGGAAAACUCAACUUGAUGUUGUGAUUGAAGGCAUCCUCUUUGAUGUUCAGUGGUUGAAACAUCAGUUGAGGUAUAAUUGAGGCCAGUAGAAUUUAUCUUCGCUCCUUGUGUUUGCAACAAGGCAGCGCAUCUAGUGGCUUCUUUUAUUACUCGAGAAGGGAGCUUUCAUAAUUGGGAUGGUCUUGAAUCAGAAUGACUAUUUAAUACUUUGACUUCGAAUGUAAACAUUUUCAUUUGAAUAUAAUAAAAUUUCUUUCUUUUGAAAAAAAAAAAUUCUUUGAAUUUGACGAAAAAGUGCUCACAUUUUUUCUUGGGGUUAAAACCCUUAAUUGCAUUUUGCACUAUGUGGUUUGGGAUCAUUAAGGGCGUGUUUGUUUGACCUUCUUAGGGGGGACUGGACUGGACUACACUAAUUGGUAUUGUAGUCUGAUGUUUGGUAGGGGCAAGGAUUAGGUUUAAUGGGAUUAGAUCCGACUCGCACGGAUUAAACCCCUCGCUAGGAGUUCUUAGCAAACCACCCCAAAAACGUCCGGAUUCGUAAGACCUCCUCCCUCACGUCGUCCUCCUCAUCCGAUUGCGCUCUUGCGAGAAAGAACCUCGGUCAUCCUAGGAGAGAGUGUCGUCGACGUCCUCCUCCCUCACGUCGUCCUCCUCAUCCUCAUCUCUGCGUCCUGCUCGUCGUCAACUGCAUCCUGGUCGCCCUCAUCUGCAUCCUGCUCCUCAUCUGUUCCUCUCGUCGUCCGCUCCAUCGUCUUCACGUAACAGAUCUGCUCGCCCUCAUCUGCCUCCAGUUGUCUGGUAAGCUUCGAUUGUUCGAUUUUUUUCGUCGAUUUGGGUCGAUUUUUUUCGUCGAUUUGGGCGGAUUUGUUUUGGGUUUGAGCUUUAUUUGAUUAUGCAGAUGAACAAAUUUUAGGGUUUUGAUAUUUAGGUGAAAUUGAGAAUAGAAAUUGGGGUUUUCAUAAAGCUUGGAAUUUGGGGUUUCAAAUUGAGAUUAGAAAUUUGGAAUUUGGGGUUUGAAAUUUGGAAUUUGGGGUUUGAAAUUUGGAAUUUGGGGUUUUCAUAAAGCAGUGUGUGUGUGUAUGUAAGUAUGCAGUAGAAAUUUGGAAUUUGGGGUUUGGAAUUUGGGGUUUUCAUAAAGCUUGGAAUUUGGGGUUUGAAAUUGAGAUUAGAAAUUUGGAAUUUGGGGUUUUCAUAAAGCAGUGUGUGUGUGUGUGUAUGCAGUGUGUGUGCGUGUGUAUGUAUGUAUGCAGUGUGUGUGUGUGUAUGUAUGCAGGGUGUGUGUGAGCGUAUGUCAGUGUGUGAGAGUGUGUAUGUCCGUGUGAGUGCAGUGUGUGCAUCUGACCAGUGUGUGUGUGUGUGUAUGUAUGCCGUGUGUGUGUGUAUGUAUGCAGUGUGUGUGUGUGUGUAUGUAUGCAGUGUGUGUGUGUGUAUGUAUGCAGGGUGUGUGUGAGUGUAUGUCUGUGUGUGAGUGUAUGUCCAUGUGUGAGAGUGUGUAUGUCCGUGUGAGUAUGUGUGUGAGUGUGUAUGCAGUGUGUGUGUGUGUGUAUGCAGUGUGUGUGUGUGUGUGUGUGUGUAUGUAUGCAGGGUGUGUGUGUAUGUAUGCAGGGUGUGUGUGAGUGUAUGUCAGUGUGUGAGAGUGUGUAUGUCCGUGUGAGUGCAGUGUGUGCAUCUGACCAAUGUGUGUGUGUGUGUGUAUGUAUGCCGUGUGUGUGUGUAUGUAUGCAGUGUGUGUGUGUGUGUGUGUAUGUAUGCAGUGUGUGUGUGUGUAUGUAUGCAGUGUGUGUGUGUGUGUAUGUAUGCAGUGUGUGUGUGUGUGUAUGUAUGCAGUGUGUGUGUGUGUGUGUAUGUAUGCAGUGUGUGUGUGUGUAUGUAUGCAGUGUGUAUGUGUGUAUGUAUGCAGUGUGUGUGUGUGUGUGUAUGUAUGUAUGCAGUGUAUGUAUGUAUGUAUGCAGUGUGGUGUGUGUGUGUGUGUGUGCAGUGUGUGUGUGUAUGUAUGCAGUGUGUGUGUGUGUGUAUGUAUGUAUGUAUGCAGUGUGUGUGUGUGUGUGUAUGUAUGCAAUGUGUGUGUGUGUGUAUGUAUGCAGUGUGUGUGUGUGUGUAUGUAUGCAGUGUGUGUGUGUGUAUGUAUGUAUGUAUGCAGGGUGUGUGUGAGUGUAUGUCCGUGUGUGAGAGUGUGUAUGUCCGUGUGAGUGCAGUGUGUGCAUCUGACCAGUGUGUGUGUGUGUGUAUGUAUGCCGUGUGUGUGUGUGUAUGUAUGCAGUGUGUGUGUGUGUGUGUAUGUAUGCAGUGUGUGUGUGUGUGUGUGUGUGUGUGUGUUGUGUGUGUGUGUGUGUGUGUGUGUAUGUGUGUGUGUGUGUGUGUGUGUGUAUGUAUGCAGUGUGUGUGUGUAUGUAUGCAGUGUGUGUGUGUGUAUGUAUGUAUGUAUGCAGGGUGUGUGUGAGUGUAUGUCCGUGUGUGAGAGUGUGUAUGUCCGUGUGAGUGCAGUGUGUGCAUCUGACCAGUGUGUAUGCGUGUAUGUAUGCAGUGUGUGUGUGUGUGUGUGUGUGUAUGCAGUGUGUGUGUGUGUGUAUGUAUGCAGUGUGUGUGUGUAUGUAUGCAGUGUGUGUGUGUGUAUGUAUGCAGUGUGUGUGUGUGUGUGUAUGUAUGCAGUGUGUGUGUGUGUGUGUAUGUAUGCAGUGUGUGUGUGUGUGUAUGCAGUGUGAGUGUGUGUGUAUGUAUGUAUGCCGUGUGUGUGUGUGUAUGUAUGCAGUGUGUGUGUGUGUGUAUGUAUGCAGUGUGUGUGUGUGUAUGUAUGCAGUGUGUGUGUGUAUGUAUGUAUGUAUGCAGGGUGUGUGUGAGUGUAUGUCCGUGUGUGAGGGUGUGUAUGUCCGUGUGAGUGCAGUGUGUGCAUCUAACCAGUGUGUGUGUGUGUGUAUGUAUGCAGUGUGUGUGUGUGUAUGUAUGCAGUGUGUGUGUGUGUGUGUAUGUAUGUAUGCAGUGUGUGUGUGUGUAUGCAGUGUGAGUGUGUGUGUAUGUAUGUAUGCCGUGUGUGUGUGUGUAUGUAUGCAGUGUGUGUGUGUGUAUGCAGUGUGUGUGUGUGUGUGUAUGUAUGCAGUGUGUGUGUGUGUGUGUGUAUGCAGUGUGUGUGUGUGCGUAUGUAUGCAGUGUGUGUGUGUGUGUAUGCAGUGUGAGUGUGUGUGUGUGUGUGUAUGUAUGUAUGCAGUGUGUGUGUGUAUGUAUGUAUGUAUGCAGGGUGUGUGUGAGUGUAUGUCCGUGUGUGAGAGUGUGUAUGUCCGUGUGAGUAUGUGUGUGAGUGUGUAUGCAGUGUGUGUGUGUGUGUGUAUGCCGUGUGUGUGUGAGUGUAUGUCCGUGUGUGAGUGUGAGUAUGUCCGUGUGUGUGUGUUAGUGUGAGUGUGAGUGUGAGUAUGUAUGUGUAUUUUGCACAUUUGUCCAUGAGUGUGUGUGUGUGUACUUGGUUUAUAAUCAUGAUAUUACAAUGUGAAUGUUUUGUAUUGUGUGGGGUUGAUGCUGAAUUGCAAUUUUUUGUGGUUGUUGGUUGCAGAGAAGAUGAGCAUAAACGGAAGGCUAAGGCUAAGGCUACUGCAUUACAGGUGUCCUUUAAUUUCCCUCUUCACAUGCAAUGCCUAGCAAUGAUAGCAAUCCUCAUACUAGUGUUCUCAGACACAUGUUUAUAGAUGUAUAAGAGUAUAACAUUUUGAAUAUGAUGCCUCGGGUUAAUGAUAACUUUUUUUUUUCAACGCCACCUGUAUAUUUGUUGCCUCGGGUUAAUGAUAACUUUUUUUUUUCAACGCCACCUGUAUAUUUGUUGCCUCGGGUUAAUGAUAACUUUUUUUUUUCCAACACCACCCGUAUAUUUGAUGCCUCGGAUUGUGACUUCGCUAGUUACUUUGAUCUAGUUACUGAUACUGAAUGUGUCAACGAAUUGAGAAUGGAUAGAAGGACUUUUGGCAUAUUAUGUGACUUACUUCGUCAAGAUGGGAGGGUAAAAACUGAUGGUUUGGUGUUUGUAGAGGAGCAGGUGUGUAUGACUUUACAAAUAUUAGCACAUCAUACUAAGAAUCGUAGUAUUGGCGGUAGAUUUUAUAGGUCGGGAGAGACUAUAAGUAGGUAUUUCAAUAUCGUAUUGCAAGGAAUUUUGCGAUUGCAAGGUAUCCUACUAAAAGUCCCUCAGCCUGUGCCUAUUGAUUCUACAGAUCCUAGGUGGCGAUGUUUUAAGGUAUGAUGAGAAUUUUUUUUUCAUUUUCCCUAAGCUUUAACUCUUCAUUCCCUUUGUAUAAAUUAACAAAAACUUUUUUUUAUUUUUUUUUUUUAAGAAUUGCUUGGGAGCAUUGGAUGGAACACACAUUGAUGUGCAUGUACCUGAAAUUGACAAACCAAGAUACCGAACAAGAAAGGGUCGAGUCGCAACUAAUGUGUUAGGUGUGUGUUCAGGAGAUAUGCAGUUCAUAUAUGUGUUUCCGGGGUGGAAGGGUUCCGCAUCAGACUCUAGAGUGCUACAUGAUGCAAUUACUAGGCCUAAUGGUUUUAAGGUACCAGCGGGUAAGACUAUUACUUAGUCUCAACUUUGUAAGUUAGGUCUAGUUCUGUUUGUCAACUACAAAACACUAAUAAAAUCUGUUUUUUUUUUUCAUUAGGUUAUUAUUACCUUGUAGAUGGUGGUUAUACAAAUGGUGAAGGAUUCCUUGCAUCCUAUAGAGGAAUACCUUAUCAUUUAUCUGAAUGGGAGGGACGAACACCUUCUAAUAAGGAAGAAUAUUUUAACAUGAAGCAUUCUAAGGCAAGGAAUGUAAUUGAACGCUGUUUUGGCUUGCUAAAAGGAAGGUGGUCGAUACUAAGGAGUCCAUCUUUCUAUCCGAUAAGGACACAAGGUCGAAUAAUUACCGCUUGUUGCCUACUACACAAUUUUAUUAGGCAAGAGAUGUCUGUAGAUCCAAUGGAGAAUUUGCCAAUAAUAGAAGAUGGACAAAAUACAGAAGAAGGUGAAUAUGUUGGUAGUGUUCAAAUAUCUGACCAGUGGACUGCAAAGAGGAAUGACAUGGCUCAGGAAAUGUAUAACGAGUGGAGAGCAAUUAGGAACCAGCAACCGAACUAGCUGUAUGUGUUAAUGAUAACAUUUUAUUUUAGUAUUCCUUUUUAUCAUGCAUUUGUUAGAUAUUAGCACAAUGAUUGGAUGGUAUGCAAAUUAAUUGGAUAUUAUGCAAGUUGAUUAGAUAUUAUGCAAGUUGAUUGGAUAUUAUGCAAAUUGAUUAUUUGUAUGGUAUUUUCCUUCAUUAAAAUAUUUUUUGUUUAGGUAUGGAUAACGAAAAUAUUUUGAAUGCUACUCAAUAGCCAAAAGGAAGAAGGCGUAAAUGGGAAGCAUUUGAGGAAGAAGUAUUACUAGGAGUUCUUGAGGAUUUUGUUGCUCGGAAGCAACGGUGUGACACCGGUGCUUUCAAACAAGGUACUUUGGUUGAAAUAGCAAAAGCUGUCAAUGUUUUACGUCAUCAUUCAAAUAUAAAGGCAAAUCCACAUAUUGAGUCCAAGUUGAAGAAAUGGAAAAAAAACAUAUAGUAUGGUCGUUGACAUGAUAAACACAAGUGGAUUUGCAUGGAAUGAUGUCAAAAAGUGCGUUGAAGUUGACAGUGAUGACUCAUGGCAAACUUAUGUGCAGGUUCAUAUCCUAUUUUAUUUAUACAUUAGUUAUAUUAUUGCUGCUAUAUUUGUUACGCAUGCUAAAUUUUAGUUUUGCUAUGUUGAUAUAAUCUUAGAGAAAUAAGAAGCCGAUGGAUGGAGAAGCAAACAUUUUCCACUGUUUGAUAGAUUUGCAUAUAUAUUUGGAAAAGAUCGGGCUACGGGUAAUGUAGCCGAAACCCCUGCUCAAAUGGUGGAGGAACAAAGUCAUGAUCAUGUUGGUGAAAAUGAUAUUGGAGGUGAAAAUUUUGUUUCUUCAAUGAACCAACAAAGCCAACAAAGCACCCCAUCUGAAAAUAGCCAAAGAAAGAGGAAAAGAGCUGUGGGAAGUUCAAGUGAUGGAACCGAGGCAAUUAUCAGUGGACUGAAAGAUUUUUAUGUUGAAAGUGGGAAGAGGAUGCAAAUGGUAACUGAAGCUUUAGUUCAAGGUACUGCAGAUCAUACUGACAUAGCUAAUGAACUUGAAGCAAUAGGUCUCUCUCCUAUGGAUCAAAUUGAUGCAUUGUCUCUUAUUUUGGAUAAACCAAAAAAUGUGGGAGUGUUCAGGGCAAUCAAACCGGAACUCAAGAAAGUGUUCGUCCAAAGGCUUUUAAGCGACAACGCAAGCGGAUGAGGAUUUUGGCUAAUGUUAACAUGGAUGUAUUUUAUUAAUGUUAACAUGGAUGUAUUUUAUUAAUCAUACAAUCUUAUGUUAUGGCUUAUAACUUAGCUUUGCACUAGUAUUUUGGCUUAUGUUAACUAGCAAUUUUGUAAAUUAUGGAGAUCUAUUUUGGCUAAUGUUAACUAAUGUUAACUAGGAUUUUCUAAAUUAUGGAGAUCUUCUUAUGUACUUGUAUUUGUUGAAGUUGCAUGUAUUGGGCACUAUUAUUUUUCUUCUGUUGGGUGAUAGAGUUUAAACCAAGCUACAUUUGCAAAUUAAACCCAAUUCUAUUAGCAGGUAAUAGAAACAAAACAAUUGUCAAUUUUUUUUAAGAUUCAUAAUAUACAUGGCAAAAAUAUGCUCCAAUUAACCCAUAUCAUGAGAUUUGUAGCAUUACUCUAUUACACAAUGGUAAAAAUUUGUAGUCCUAGUCUAAGCAAACACAAAUCUGGUGAACAGUACUGUUUUUCUUAUCCUGCUUCUUAGUCCGACAUUACACCAAACGCUUCACUAAGUUAGUCCAGCUUAGUCCAGUCUAAGCCAGUCCAGCUUAGUUCAGUCUAAGCCAAUCCAGCUUAGUCCCGGCAGCUAGUCCAGUCCGAGACAGUCCGGCGCAACAAACGCACCCUAAGAGUUUGGCUUCUGUCUUUUGAAAAUUAGCAAAAUAUCCACCCUGAGUUGAUCGUUAACUAUUAUUUUCAGAUAUGGCAAAGGGUGAACUCAUUUCGUAUGAAAAUGUUUUUGGACUACUGAUAUUUCCGAUAUCAUCGAUAUUUUAGACCUUGAUAGGAAUUCUAUGUGGUAAUAAGUCACUCAUGUAUCUUACCAUACAAUGUAUAAAGUGUAAAAUAUUGUACUAAUUCAUUAUAUAUAAAUGAUUAUGGUGUGUUUAAACUUAUUUAAUUAAUUACUACAUAUUUUAUACAUUCACAAUGUUUGUCAACUCGUUAUAUAAUCAACUUAAAUCAGUUAAAUCCAUCAUGCAAUGCAUUUCCUUCCAAUUUUUUUUUUUUUGUGAUAAACUAAUAGAUAAUUGACUAAAUAAACAUCCUGCAAAGUUUCAAUAAAAAUUUCCAAAAUUUUCUUACAAUUUCCGUGGUUUUUAUUCAAUUUUUAUCGAUAUCGAUAAUAUCCCGAUAUUUCCAUCCAAAUUUCCAUGUUUUUGGACUACCGAUAUUUCCGAUAUCAUUGAUAUUUUAUACCUUGCAUGUGGAUUCAUGAAUGCCCUCGAGACACUAAAUAGGAAAUUCCUAUAUAUAGAUAUGUCAAUUGAUGAAAAACGGCACAUGUGACAUCAAUUCAAAAGUCGGAUUCUCUUUGUGAGGAUCUCCGAGAUUCUCAAAUCACAUUCGUUCAUCGUAUAUUGUGCGAUUAGAAAUCAUUGCAAAUUUUUUUAUUUAAAAUUAAAUAUAAACAGUACAUGACGAAAAUUGACCACACGAUGUAUGAUGAACAUAUGUGAUUUGAGGAUAUUCGGAAUCUUCACAAAGAGGAUCCGGCAAGAAUCCUCACUCACAAUAAUAAACCUCGUCAAUGGUCACGUCAACAAGAAGCUAAAAUGAAAAAGAAGGAUUUUUGGACUUGAGUGCAAAGUAACAUAGCGAGAAUACGUUGCUCCACCUAGCUUUGUAAGUCCUAAAAAAAUGAGAUUGUUUUGUUUGCAAUAAAUAAAAGGGUGUUAGGGUCAUUCACCUUGUAAUCGGUAAGUUUGGAUACUCUUCCUCUAAAGCUUAAUUAAGACUCAUUUGAAAAUGUUUUCAAAAUAAUUAAAAACGAUUUUAAAGAAAAUGUGAUAGGGCCAUCUUAGUUCGGGAUUCAUCUUCUUUUGUAAUUGUUGUUUGCUGUUUGAGAUCUUAUGAAAAUAAAUAAACAAAAAACAAAGGGUGUUAUGGUCAUUGCCUCGAAAACUUAAUGGACGCGUAUGGGUGUUGGUGUGUUUUUUACUGAAAUAGACAAAUUGCUGUGCUGCGUCUUUUGGACCAAAGUUUUUGUUUGUUUUUGUGUAAGUUAAGAUCUAACACAUGACUCGGUACUUCGAGGCAGAAAAGUUUUUCAUGGAGACAAUAAUUAUUAAUUAUUCGUUACUUUUUGAAAUAGGAAAUGAGUAAUGAUAUCUUUACCAUAUUCUUUAUACGAUAUUGGACCAUUUUUUAAUAGAAGUAGGACAAUAAACAUAUGGGUCACAUUUUUAUUAGUGAGAUUGUACAUAUUUAGUAUAAAAAAUACGGUAAAAAUAAUAUUUUGUUUUUUAAUAUAAAUAAUAAUGGUACAGGGUUAAACACAUCUGAUAUAAAAAAUACGGUAAGAAUAACAUUUUUGUUUCUUAAUAUAAGUAGUUCCGGUAUAGUGUUAACCAAUAGCAUGCAUUAAAUAUUAGGAAAUUCAAAGCAACACAACAUUCUCUACUUUCUUAUCAUGCUCGUUGCGUCAAACAAAAAAAGGCUAAGGGAAAGUUCGUUUUAUUUUCUCUUCUUUAUUUUUGUCUUCAUUUUUAUUUUCUCUUCUUUAUUUUUGUCUUCAUUUCAUGAAAUAUAUAUGUGUGUUGUUGUGGAUACAAAUUUUGUCUAAGGCUGAAUUGACGAAAUUCUACCUAUAAAAAAAACACCAUUAGCCUAGUUGAUGAACAUAAAAAGAAAAAGGGUAAAGUAGUCUGAGAGAUACUAAACAAAGAGAAUUUUGAGUAGUAAGUGACGAUUAUUGAUUUUCUUGUGUGACUUGCUCAUUUAUAGACCGAAGCCUUCACUCGCAGUUGAGGUGGGAGGUUGCAGGCUACACUAGACGGACCGCUCUGUUCUGCGAGUGAUGGCACAGACUAUUCUCCACAUGCCGCUCGCGAGUAGUCCCAAAAGCCAUGUUUCUAGGAGCGCAGGAGGGUCAGACACUCAAAGGGAGAGUCCAAAGGAUCGGCUUCCUACCACUUUGGCCCAGGUAUGCCUAGGUGGGUGGACACCAUAGGCCCAAUGAGCACCAUGUCGACUCGAAAGCCUUGUACCAGGGAAGGCAAAUGCCACAUCCCUUUAGGUAUGUUGGGGUCUGCUCAAGAAGAUAAGGGUAAAAUUGUCAUAGAGAGCUUAAAGUUCACGUGUUCGUCUCUUCUUAAAUAUGGUUAAUUUAUGGAGUAAUGUUAUUCACACCAUGUUUUUAUAUCACAUUUCUAUAUCACCUUAGGUGACAUCUGAUGUAGACAGCCACAUCAUUUGAAAAAAUUGCAAAACCCAAGGAAAUGAAGGAAAAAAACUCAUCGUUUAUCACAAUCAUCAUUUAAUUAACUCGUUUUUCUAAUUAUUAGUUUAUUAAAUAAUGAACUAAAUUUAAAAAUAUGAUUAAUUCAAAUGAUGUGGCUGUCCACAUCAAAUGUCACCUAAGGUGAUAUGAAAAUGUGGUACAAGAACAUGGUAUGAAUAACAUUACUCUGAUUUAUGUCUCCACAGGUAUGUAGGGUACCAUUUUCAAGGCCUAUACAUAACUUCUCUCUCUUAGUAUUUUUUUUUUUUUGGUUACAAAAAAGGAUUAGUGUAUGCUGUAAGAAAAUGUCAUUCUUGUUCUUCUAGACCCCAUGAUCUAAAAAUUUGUGAUCACUUACCAUUCGAUGGUAUUAAUCCAAUAAUUGAUAAAAAUAAAUGUUUUGAAUUAAGCUCGAACAAUAGGGACCAUAAUUUUCUUGAACCAUGAUGUAGAUCUAGGAGCAGGAGAGUGCAGAAAAUGGAUAAACCAUUCAAUAAAUAUGAAGGAUGCAAAUUGCAUUAUUGUAACAUCCCACAUCGUCCAAGGGUGUGGAUCAUGUAAGCUUUAUAUGUAUAUUCCCAUCCCUACCUAGCAUGAGGCCUUUUGGGAGCUCACUAGCUUCGGGUUCCAUCAGAACUCCGAAGUUAAGCGAGUUCGUGCAAGAGCAAUCCCAUGAUAGGUGACCCACUGGGAAGUUCUUAUGUGAGUUCCCAGAAAUAAAACUGUGAGGGGGUGGCCGGGGACUCAAAGCAGACAAUAUCGUGCUACGGUGGAGUCAAGCCCAGAUGUGAUGGGAGUCCGGAUCGGGAUGUGACAAUUAUGCAUCGAGUACAAAUUAGAUGGCCGGGGACUCAGAGCAGACAAUAUCGUGCUACGGUGGAGUCAAGCCCAGAUAUCAUGGGAGCCCGGACCGAGAUGUGACAAUUAUGCAUCGAGUACAAAUUAGAUGUGUAAACCCUGAAGAAGGUGACUUGAUUCCAAAGGAGACGUGCGAGGGGAUUUGUGGAUAUACCAUUCUAGAUCCAAAUGCAUUAUGCAUCGAGUCUUGUAGACAAACCUAUCUAUGGCCAAUCGAUCAUGACAAAAUAUGAGAGGAAACAACCUAGAUAGCAAAUUAAGCUUCUUAUGUAACAAAGUUUGAGACUUCUGUGAAGAUUUUUAAGGUCUUAUUUCAUUAGCUAAAUGCUAAUAACAAUCUUACACCACAAGAUUAUCACUAAUUUAUCCACUCUUUUUGUUGUUGUUGUUGUCGCCAAUAAGUAUAGUUCACAAGGAUAUUAGCGAUGUUAACAACACACAGUGGAUCACAGACGACGAUUGUCAUUUGUCACAAUAAACUUUAACGUGAACUACGUACCUAGGCCAUAUAGCCACCAAAAGAAGGGGCGGCAAGAAUUAAUGUGCAUGGAUUUGGAUCUUCUGAGCUCAGGGGGUUGAGCCUCCUGAACUAAACACGUGGGCCAUUGGAUUUUGAUCUAACAUCUACAAUUAUUAUAACUUUUAAAGGGGCCUCUUAUUUGUAGCCUUUGGAUUUUGAUCCAACGACCCACGUGCUUUGCUCAGGAGGCUCAGCCCCCUGAGCUCAGGAGAGGAUCCAAGUCCUUGUUUACGCAACUUGACCUAGAAAACAAAAAACAAAAAUGAUGAGUUAGCUACUUAAAUUUACGGACCAUUUGUCAUAUAAACACAUGUAUAAUAAUGGAAAACUUGACAGAAUUGAACUGUAUAUAUGGAGAUAAACAUAAACACCGCCUUUCGAUUUGAAAUGUAAUGAACCAAAAUGAUGAGUUAGCUAGAGACACUGAUAUUGAUAUUGAACCGUAUAUAUGGAGAUACAUUGGAACAUCGUAAAAUUUUCAUAAUUAUAUACCGAAAGUCUUAGAGCCGGAGACAUUGAUAUUGAUAUAUCGAAUGGUAUAGGGAGGGGCAAAAGUUGUGAUGCAGUGAGAGGUAUUUCUUAUUUUUCGGUGUGAAUAAAUAGUGAGAGGGUUAGGGAUGGCUGCCAUGCCACGCACAAGUGUUUGAUGCUGGAGAUAAAACGGCCUUGUGAAGAGGAUUACAAUGUGAUUAGUUAUAAUUAAGAAAACACUUCCAAAACCCGCCAAAUAGCUUCUCUGGAAAACCCGCCAACCUCCCAACUACUUCUUCACCAAAAAUCUCUCUCUCUCUCUCUCAGCAUUUUAUACUUGCAUUUUAGUAGCUUUCAGAAUAUAUCGAAAUCCAUAGCUCCAACAAAACUCCAUCACCAGCAUCAACCAUGGCAAUUCGAGGCUGAGGUACUUUGUUUAAUUAAUUUUCUUGUAUUCUCCUCCACAUUUUCAAUGUUUUCUUUUCUGUUCAUCUCAUGAUUCAUUAGGCUUUUACCGUUUUUGGGUUAUGUUUUUUCUCCACUAUUUCAUUGCUAGUUCUUUUUAUAAAAAAAAUGUGUAUUAAUUCAUGGCUCUCGACGUUGAAUCUACGAGAUAUAACUUGGUCUUCUUUGUUCAUAUCUAAGAUUGUCUCCAAAGCCGGCCCUGAGAUUUUAAAGAUUGAGGCUCUCACGUACAUGAAUUUUUUCAUGGACUACGAACUUUGGUUUUCCCUAUUACAAAGAUGAUUUGAAAAUUUAUAUAGGCAACUUAAUACAAUAAGUAUGAUACGCUAAGGUACAAGGAACAUAAUUUACACAAUAUGUAUCAUUCUAUAUUUCCAUAAUAUUGGAUCAAUUUAUCAAACAAAUAUACAUUCAAUUGUACAAGAAACGUGGGCAAUGGUAAGGAAGAAUUGAGAAACAAAGAUUAAAAAUGAUUACUAGCUACUUACCAGAAAAGAGGAGUCCAAGAGCAGUCGAUAGCCUGUUUACAGUACAGUACCAUAAGCUUGAUUAUCAAAAUAUAAUUGUUAUCAUUUGCACUACAACAGAACUGAUCUUUUACGGCGCACAAAGAGCGUCGUAAAUGGUUAUUCACAGCGUGAACCCCUAAGCAGUAAAAGCCCUUGUCGUAAGAGAUGUUUUGUCAAAUGCGAUGUACUCUAGUAGUCGUCAAUAAUUUAAGCAAAAUAUGCCGUAAAUGCUCUUCAAGGCGUACCUUAUUUGGUAUUAGAUACAACGUUAAAUACUGCAAAAACAAUUACGGCAAUACCAGUGCGUCAUAAUUUAUACUGCGAAAACAAAGCCAAUUGGCUGCUGUUUAUCCAUUUUACUUUUAAUUAGUUGUCUUAGGAUUAAAAUGUUUAAGACAACAGCAAUAAACCACAACGAAAAAGUUAGUGAAGUAGUUAAAAGGGUGAACAAAGUUUUGUUGAAUUCUUAUCAAAAGUACUAUUUUAGAGUUAGAAAUUUUUAACAUCACAUUCAUAUAGAUAACUGUUUUGAAGGAUUCUAAGGGAUCGACCUAUGCAAAUUUUUCUGUACUUUUAUUUGCUUGGUUUCGUUGAAAUUAAUUUUAAUUGAUGAAGGAUGUUUUUGUGAAACAAACCGUUGGAGCUUUCAGAGAUGCAGCAACAAAAAAUGGAGCAACCCGAAGAGGAGUUGAAGAAUGUGGAGGAGCAAUUGCAAGCAGUGGAGGUAGAAAGAGAUCGAGCUGUCGAUGAGCAUCAAGAGACGAAAAAAGUGGCAGAAGAGGCCAACAUGAGGCUUAGUGAAGAAUUGGCAACGCAGAAUGAUGUCGGGAUGCUCUCAGAAUUAAGUUUCACGAAGGAGCUGCUGUCGAAUGCAAGGCAAGAACUGAAGAGUACAGCGGAGAAUAUUGAGUCUUUGAAACUUGAGUUGGGAAAGGCCAAAGGUGUGGAGCUCAAGUUGACUGAGAAUGUAAAAACCUUUGAAGCUCAAGCGAAGACUUUAUUGUCUCAAAACGAAGAAAGGAUUCGGGAAUUGGAGAUCAAAGCGGACAAUGCAAAAACCUCGGAUGCUCAUGCAAAGGCCUUAUUGUCGGAAAGUAAAAAAAGAAUUCGCGAAUUGGAGAUGAAACUGGCAGAGAAUAUGAAGUCCACUGAGGCAGAGGCUCACACAAAGGCUUUAUUAUUCACAAAGGAAAAAAGAAUUCGGGAUUUGGAGCUCAAACUGGCAGAAAAAGCGGAAAUCUCCGAGCCUCACAUGAAGGCUUUGUUGCUCAAAAGUGAGGAAAGAAUUCGGGAAUUGGAGUUCGAACUGGCAGAGUAUAUGAAGUCCACUAACGUAGGGGCAGACACAAAGGCUUUACCGUCCGAAAGUGAAAAGAAGGUUGGGGAACUUGAGGUCAAAAUGGCAGAGAAUGCAGAAACCUCCGAGGCUCAAACGAAGACUUUAUUGCUCAAAAGUGACGAAAAAAUUCAGGAAUUGGAGCUCAAACUGGCAGAGAAUGUGGAAACCUCUGAGGCUCAUACAAAAGCUUUAUUGUCAGAACGUGAAGGAAAAAUUCGAGACUUGGAGCUUAAACUAGCAGAGAAUGUUAGCACCUCCGAGGCUCGCGCAAAGUCUUUAUUGUCUGAAAGUGAAGGAAGGAUUCAGGAAUUGAAGCUCAAACUGGCAGAGAAGGUGGAAUCCUCUGAGGCUGAAACGAAGGCUUUAUUGUCUGAAAGUGACAAGAGAAUUCGAGAACUGGAAAUGGAAAUAGAGAAAAGGAAGCAAUCAGAAGCAAGAAUUCUUGAUUCAUUGAUCACCCAAACCAACCAACUUGAACAGACCAAGGUUUUACUUGAAGAGGCAAAGUUUGAGAGUGCCUCUUUUCGCAAGAAAUUGGAGAACGAAGAUGAAUCCGCCGAAAGUAGUCAAGAUAGUAGUGCAUCUCAUGAUCAUGAUCAACCCGAAAGUAAUAUUUCCAUGAAGGAGGAAUUAGAGAGUCUCAAGUCUGAGCUUCAAUUGACAAAGGAGAAUCUGGUUGAUGUCCAAAAAAAGGAGCAACUUGCUACGUCGAUGGUUGAGAAAUUACUUGAGGAGAUUAAAGUACUUAAACAUGAACUGAAGUUGGCAACCGAAGCUGAAGAAAAUGGAGGAAGGGCGAUGGAUGAUCUGGCUUUCGCAUUGAAAGAAGUUGCGACAGAAGCCAACCAGUUGAAAGAUAAACUUUGCGUGAGCCAAGCAGAGUUAGAGCACUCAAGAGCACAAGAAGAGCGUCUGAAUGCAAUCUUAAAGAGCAACGAGGAAAGUUACAAAACGCUACUGGAUGAAGCAAGGAGAGAAGCCGAAAGACACAAAAACGUUGCUGCCAGGUUGAAAAUAGAACAUGAAGAGUCGGUUUUGGCAUGGAGCGGGAAAGAAACCGGCUUUGUUAAUUGUAUUAGAGGAGCCGAGGAGGAUCGACAUGCUGCACAACAAGAGAACUUUAGAUUGCACGAGUUGCUUCUAGAGACGGAUAAUAGAGCCAUGUUAUCAAAGGAAGAAAAUAGCAAGUUGCGCGAUAUACUUAAGCAGGCCUUAAAUGAAGCAAAUGUUGCAAAAGAAGCUACCGCCAUUGCUCAAGCCGAAAAUUCUCAACUCAAAGAUACCCUGGCUGGAAAAGAGGAGGCCUUGAAUUUCCUUACUCGAGAGAACGAAAAUUACAGGGUAAAUGAAAUAGCAGCUCAUGAAAAUAUUAAGGAGUUAAAACGGUUGCUUAUUGAAUCGUCAAAGAAUGAGGAAAAAGAGAAAAUACCAACAAAGGAGAAUGAUUGCAAGAAAGAGGAGAAGGAGAAAACGUCGUCAAAGGAGAAAGACUGCAAGAAAGAGGAGAAAGAGAAAACGCCAUCAAAAGAAAAGGAUUCGAAGAAGGAGGCUAAAGAGAAAACACAAUCAAAGGAAUUGAAGAAGGAGGUUAAGGAGAAAAAACCGCCAAAGGAUGUGAAAAAGGAGGAUACAGGUAAAGAGAAACCGCCAUUAUCAGGGGACGCAAAGAAGGAAGAUAAAGAGAAAACAUCGUCAAAGGAUGACAAGGACACUGCAACAUCUCAAAACGGAAGCAUAUUUGGCAAAGUUUUCAGUUUCAACCUUAAGGAGCUCAAAGUUUCAAACACGCAUGAAGAAGUUGUUGAUCAUGACGAUGAUGAGAUUGAACUAGACGAGGCUCUGAAAGACUCGAUAUUUGAGGUAGACUCUCCAGGGUCAGCUGAUCACCGAAGAAAUUCUUCUUCUACGUUCACAGACGAUGGAGAUGGGUUCCAAUCGGAUGAUUAUGAUCAUCUAGAUGGAACUCCAGGUGAGAAUUCAAGGAAAAAGAAAGCAUUGCUACGAAGAUUCGGAGAUCUUAUAAAGAGAAGCACUACUUAUAGUACCAAAAAGGAACCAUCGCCGGAUCCGAAAAAGGAACCAUCGCCGGAUACCAAAGAAGAAACAUCACCAACCAAAAAGGAGCCUUCACCAGAAUAGUCAAGCUGUAUUUUUGCAUUGUUCUUCUUGUUUUCAGUUAGAUUUUCUGUACAUAUUCAUCUACUUUGUAUGAUUUGUACGUACUUCGUUGUAGUUAUAACGUACGUGUUUAGUUUUUGUUCACACUAAAUAUACAACAUAAUUUUCUCUUUCUCACCACAAUAUUAUAACUUGAUGUGCAUUGUGCGAUUAUACAUACAAGUCAUUGUUGUUUCUUAUAGGAAUUGCACCAAGUAUUAUUUCACAAUAUUACACCAAUGAUCCAAUUCAUUAAUUAAUUUACUUAUUCCACACAUCUUUCCUUCUCAUACAUAUUGAUUUCUUCCUAAAUGUCUAGCUAGGAACCCUUGGGUUGGUCUAGUGAAAAGCGCGCAAAUGUUUGAAAUCGUCAAGUCAAGUUUGAAAUUGCACAUAUACAUUCCUUGAGCCUACUGACUUUGCUUUAACAUAUACUGUUUCACUCAGAGGACACAAAGUCGUCGCCUUUUCUGAUACUGCAUAGAGAGAGAUUAAUCUGCAACCUAUAUUCGAAAAGUAUAGAUGCAGUUGCAGUCCCAUUCUUCGUGCCCAAAUUAAGCCAUAUUUUAAUUAAACCAAUAUCUUCAACAUAAGUUACUCAAAUACUUUGGGCCCUUAAGGAUUUACGUAAAACAAUACAUCGCCAUGGUGACGUUUCCUACCAUAGAAAUAAAGAUAUACGUAAAGUUUUUGUCCACAUGUUCUUUUUUAAUUAAAAUAAGAUAUUAUGUGACUGUGUACUCGUGUCGUAUAAAUUGUUAUCUAUUUAAGUAGUGGGUGAGGCAGGCCUUAGCCCGGGAACGUGAAAUACCACAACCCGGCCCACGUGGGUGGUAGGGACCUUCCAUAACCUUCCUUCUUUUUCUUUCUGUUUCGGUAACAAAAGCUGUCACGGUUCGAACCGCCAAAAAUGGCGCCUGUGAGAAGCACAGGCGCUAUUGUGGCGGCAGUCUCUGUGUCAAUGGCGUUGCUCUCUCUCUUCCUCUACAAGUCCAAACUCUCCUCCAAAAAGACCAAACUAACCCUGCCCUCGAAGAAAAAUCACACGAAUGGCCUCGUUGGUGCCAUCGGCAACACCCCUCUGAUCCGCAUCAACAGCCUCUCUGACGCCACCGGCUGUGAAGUGAGCAAUUGGGGUUUUCUCCAAUUAUUUUUUCUGGGUUUUCAUUUGUUUCUUCAAUAAUUUUUGUUUUGAAUUUUUGGUUUUUUUUUUUUUUUUUUUUUUUUGGUUUUUUCAGAUUCUUGGGAAGUGCGAGUUUUUGAACCCGGGAGGGAGUGUGAAAGACAGAGUUGCUGUCAAAAUUAUUGCAGAGGUAAAAAGCUUCUUUUAUCUGGCUGACAAAUUUGAUUGAAAAGAAAUUAAAAUUAUGCAUGUCUUGUAUUUGUAAGUUAAAACUCGUGGAAAAUAUAACUGGCACCAGUGGUCAUUAGAGUAAUUCUUCUGGAAAGUAGAGUUUUUCGAAACUCGAAAGUAAGUUUUGGCAAACUCUAAGGCCCGUUCGAUAACCAUUUCAGUUUUUAAAAACGUGAAAACAAAGAAAACUGAAAAUAAAGCGGACUUAAACAGUUGUUAGUGAUACUUGAACAUUGUUGUUUAAGCUUAAGUCGACUUAAAGAGUGUAGCUUCUGAAUUUUCGUUCGGUUAAAUGAACUUUGUAAAUUUAUUUAUACUAUAAUCAGUUGUAAUGAGUUGUUGGCUGACUGUGAUUGAUAGGCUUACCGAGUCGCGCAAAUGUUCUGAUUUUUGGUUCUGUACAGGCUUUGGAAUCUGGAGACCUUGCUCCAGGUGGAGUAGUCACUGAGGGGAGUGCAGGAAGCACAGCUAUAAGCCUUGCUACGGUUGCUCCUGCUUAUGGUUGCAAAUGUCACGUGGUUAUACCUGAUGACGCUGCUAUUGAGAAGGUAUUUAGAGAAUGCAUUUCGGAUUGGCAACAUUGAUUCAUGAACUGUUUAUAAGUUACAGGUACUGUUGGGGUGUAUCUGAUAUGAGCAAACAACAGAAACCCCGCGGUACCAGAAACCAUGAUCUCCCUCUCCCCAGUUUCAUUUUUCCUUCAAAAUAAAAAAUUAGGUUCUGCGAUGUGCUGAAAUUUGCUUCUGUGGUGCCAACCUUUUUUUUAGUCUCAAAUACUUGAAGCCCUGGGAGCGACUGUUGAAAGGGUAAGACCAGUGUCAAUUACGCACAGAGACCACUUUGUGAAUAUUGCUAGGCGACGGGCAACGGAAGCAAAUGAAUUAGCAAUGAAGCAUAGGAAAGAUGAACAAAUGAAUGGCCAAGCCCUUGAGCAGACUAAUGGUUUCCAAUGUGAUGGAGAGAAACAAAGUGUGGUAUCAAGUUACACAGGUGGUUACUUUGCUGAUCAGUUUGAAAAUAUGGCAAACUUCCGGGCCCACUAUGAGGGUACCGGGCCUGAAAUUUGGGAACAGACUGGAGGAAAUGUAGAUGCAUUUGUGGCGGCAGCAGGAACAGGUGGUACAGUGGCUGGUGUGUCCAGGUUUCUCCAGGUCCACUACUGAAACCACUUAAAUUGUUUUAUUUUACUCAACUUAUGUGGAAUUGUAAGAGGUCGCACUUGGUGCGAUGGCAAGUGCCUUCGCCCAUGAGCAGUAGGUCUCAGGUUCGAGACUUGGGAGCAGCCUCUCCAUAAAUGGGGUAAGGCUAGCCGACAUUCACCUCUCCCAGACCCUGCGUAAAGCGGGAGCCUUGUGCAAUGGGUACGACAUUUUUAUGUGGAAUUGUAGUUGUGUUAACCGCAUUUCCUUUUGUUCAACAGGAAAAGAAGUCUAAUGUUAAGUGCUUCCUGAUAGAUCCCCCUGGUUCCGGUUUAUACAAUAAAGUUACAAGGGGAGUGAUGUACACUAGAGAGGAGGCUGAAGGACGAAGGCUAAAAAAUCCAUUUGACACGAUAACUGAAGGAAUUGGAAUCAAUAGAAUAACAAAGAACUUUAUGAUGGCAAAACUUGACGGGGCUUUCCGAGGCACAGAUAAAGAAGCUGUUGAAAUGUCCAGGUCAGUCCUUAGACUUGUUUGGUUAUUCUUAGUCACCACUUUUUCGUCGUGCUUUCUAAUAUGCCGAGAAGUUGAGAAAAUGGAAGCAGUUGGGAUUGAAUUUUUCUCAACGUCGUCUAUGAUUCCUGUGCUGUCUAGUAUAUUUGUCAUUUCGAAAUUGGUCAAACGGUAUUCUUAGUAUGUUCAAUCAUAUUCCCAUUCAUGUAAGAUAAAAAGUCCCAAUUUCUUCCAUUCACUUGGCAACGUUAAACCAAGAAUAUUUAGUUGUUUUUCUUGGCCUUGAGCUUGUAUUGGUUAAAACUUGUUCAGGUUUCUUAUGAAGAACGAUGGGCUCUUUUUGGGGAGUUCUUCGGCCAUGAAUUGUGUUGGAGCAGUCCGAGCGGCACAGGCACUUGGUCCCGGUCACACAAUUGUGACCAUUUUAUGCGAUAGUGGGAUGAGACAUUUGAGCAAAUUUUUCAGCGCUGAGUAUCUGUCUCAAUAUGGAUUGACACCCUCGGCUAGCGGAUUAGAGUUCCUGGGUGUUGGAUGAGGUUCUGCAUCGGCCAAGAGGAUCCAUUUCUCUCUCUGCAGUUCCAUCCAAAGAGCAGCAACACUUUAGCAGUCACAUUCAAGAGAUUAACAUGACAAUUCUGUUCGAUUAAAUUCCCGAAGAUUACAUAAUUUUGUACUGGCAAAAUGUUUGCAUCUCUUCGAUUUUUCAUCUACAUUGUCGAUUUUAGGGCGUUGAGUUCUGUAUUGAAAUGAAUGCUUCUCUUUGAAUGUUUCUCCGGGCAUCCAAGUAAGUUAAUACGACGCAAAUCACUUGUUUAAAUGACCAAAUUCUAUUGCGAUAAAUUCUGGAAUGUUAUUGUCAAGAUACAUGGCCUCCAAUGUCUCGGAGAUACAAAGGAUCGAAACCUAACACGGGAUGCAAAUUUCAAAUGUCUCGAGCAAUUUAUAACAUGCGAUACUCGGAUCACCGGCUGUUCCACUUCUCGAACUCAGACUCAUGGCAGUGUGGGUCUAACCAAUCCCUGUUAGAACCCUUUGCCAUGCUGCUGCUUCCUUUCCCAUCGCCCACAAGCUCUCUCAGAUUCUCCAACUUAUUCUCUCGGCCUGCCCCGGUACUUUUCCUAUCCGCUUCCUUCAGUUUCUGCUUGAACUUCUGCUUACGACCACCAGGGUUUACCUCUUGCUGCUUUGAUUGCGAAGGAGGAGCCCCGUGCGGUCCUAAGUAGAUCUUCUCUUCUUUUUCCGCCUGCACAAAAAGCAUAUAUCUUCAGCAAAUAACCAUUUCCAUGCUCACCGAAUUCAAGACUUAGGGCCAUCAGAUGCAAAUGUAUAUUUCCCUUUACUCCAUACAAGGAACUAGAGCACUUCCAACUGACCUUCGGAGAUGGAGGUUUUGAAGCUUCCACUGUUGGAGCAUCCUGAUUUUGUUUAUCUUGCUCUUCAACCACCAAGCUCGGAAUCACGAACCCAUCAGUGUCUAAUGCAAAAAGCAGUCAAACAUUAAUCUCGAAACAGUUAAAUGCACAUCAAACGAAUUCAAAAGGUAUGUUAUAUUGCUGAAACCACUAAAUGAAGGAAGGUGAUUUCAGCACACCCCGUUUCUCCUUCUACAAUCCUCUGUUUAUUUCUAUGUGCCUUUGACUCCAUUGAUAUAUUCAAAAUAAAGGGCAGAGAAAGAAAAGAAGGUGUGCAGGGGAAGAAAAGGGUGUGCGGAAAUCAUUUGCCAUCAAAAAAUCGGUACCAAUCAACCAUAAUGUGCCACACACAAGGGAGAGAAACUUGCGCCACAAAGAGUUUCCCUAACCUAUAUGCCUCUAGAUAAUAGAAACUAUGAUCAGUUUAUGGCUCACACUUUCCAGAUGUAGAAAUAGUAAACAUUGAUUAUACAAAUCAACAAUAAUUGAGUAAAAAAGAUUUAAAUCCUAAAAGUACAUGUGUAUAGGGGCCAAUUCGAUAACCAUUUCGUUUUUCAUUUUUGGUUCACCUUUUGUGUUUGUGUUAGACGGGAAAUACAAGGGAAAUGAGGGGAUGAAGAGUGGAUGAAGGAUGGUCGGAGUAACGUAGAAGAAAUGCAUAAAGAAAGGCACACAAACUAAAAACCAAAAGCUAUUUUAAAUUGUUUUUUACUUCUAAGAUUUUGUUUUCAAUCAUUCAUCUUUUAUUUCUUCCCCUCUCUCCCAUCUCCCUUCUUCAUCAUCCCUCCUUACCCUCAUAUGUUUUCCUCAUAUCUCAAGAACAAAAACUGAAAUCAAAUAAAAACAAAAUGAUUAUCAGACGGACCCUAAGUUUCGAAUACACAUUCAGAACUUUGGUGCCCAUUUACACUAAAACUCGCGCACAACGCAAAAUCCACGUACUAAAUACCACAAGUUACUGAUCCUGUAGCCAAGAAUGUAGCUAACAGACUACGUUGCAAUGCCAAAACAACAUCUAACACCAAAUAAUUAGAAACCAAAAUGUGUAAGCAUAACCCAAUUUCAAUAGAAGCAACCAAUUCCCAGAUGCAGCACAACGUGCAUAACACAAUAAGUGGCUGAGGAUAAACUGAUUUUUUCCAAAACUAAAUGAAACCCAUAGAGAUUAUGCAAAAAUAUCACAAUCUAUCUAUUAAACUUUCCACCAAAUUUUCUCAGUAACCAAACAAGGAGAUUAUAUGAAAAGAAGAUGAAACCACAGAUGGGAAAAGUGAUACAUAUCAUACCCCACUCAUCUUCUUCUUCGAGAGGUGGAGUGGUUCGCACUGGAGAGGGGUCCAUGGGACGCUGAUGAUCAUGGAUUUGACAAGCCACAGGGCGCAAAAGCCCAGAUCAAGAUCAAUAGAACGGCUCAAAUCCAAUCACCAACAGCAACACAACUCCCAAAUGAGAGCCUUCCGCAAAUCUGAUGAAUCGCAAAACCAGCUUAUUGUUUUCAGAAAAACAUAAGCAAUGCCCAAACGUAACCCUCUUUUGCCAAAAUUCUUCAAAAAAAGUUUUAAAGUAAAAUUGUUUUCUUUGGUUGGUUGGCAGCUUUGGGCUAAAUGAUAUUUUCGUCAUUGACGGGAAGUUGAUUUCUCGGAUGACUUCUAUUAUUCAGGCUUUACUUAUUAUUCUAUUUAUUAUCCAUUUUUUAGUUAAAAUUAUCUUUAAAAUUAGCAUAACUUUGGUUUAUGAUAUUUAAAAUCGAUAAAAUUAGUCUCUUAGUUUGUCCAUCAUCAAUCAUUUUGGUCAUUAUGUAAAAAAUCUUUGUUAAAUAAUAAUCAAAUGACAACAAUGCUCUUCAUUUAAUAAACAAUUGGUCAAAAUGAUUUUACAAAAAAAUGAGGGUAUUUUUUGUCAUUUUACCUUAUUUAACAUAGAUUUUUCAUGAAAUAACCAAAAUGAUUGAUGAUGGACAAACUCAGCAACCCGUUCUAUCGAUUUUAAAUCUCAUGGACCAAAGUGAGGAGUUAUGUCAAUCUCAGAGACCAUUUUGGUUAAAAAACCUUUAAUACCGUUAGAUGCGUUUAAAUUUCGAGAUCUAUAUAAUAGAUAGACACAAAUCUCAAAAUUAAACUCAUCUAACGGUGAUAAAUAGGGCAUUAAGCAUUACCACUUCUUGAGGGUUGUGAACAAAAAUGCAUCCUAAGCAACGGAGGUUUGUUGAGAAAUAAUGUUGGCUAGAAUAUGGACACAUGGCACGUCUGUUAAAUGGUAUUGAAGCCAAGAGAAAAAUAUUAGGAGUGGUCAGAUUGUAGACGACUGAUGCUAGCAAUACUCUUUGAAGCGAAAUACAAAAUUGUGGUCAAUAUGUUGCCUUUAGUCUCUCCACUAGAUUGACCGAUGAUAGACGCAUAUUUAUGCGACUUAGUUAACUAGUUUUCUUGCAUUUACGUUAUUAGUUCUUAGUUAUUUUAGUACUUUAAGCCAUUUUCGUGUGUUUGUAGGUCCAAAGGGCUAAGGUAGCAAGAAAGUGCAUUUUGGUGCAUUUUGGAGCAGUUUUGAGCUUGUAAUGGAUUACAUAUGAUAUGAGCAAGAUGGAUGGACGAAUUUGAAGACAAAAGAGGCUAAGAACAUGCUAAAAAUCUGGUGAACAAAUACAAGUUGCAAGAAGGGAUAAAUUUCUAAAAGGAUUGGCCAAAACUUCACUCAAAACACAUCAAAGCCGUGACUUUUACUUCCACCUCCACCAAAAAUUUGAGUAAUGAUGCAAUGCUUAAAUCACCAUGACAUGUGAGUGGAUGAUGCAAUGCUUAGCUAACCAUGACAUGUGAGUGGAUGAUGCAAUGCUUAGCUAACCAUGACAUGUGAGUGGAUGACUCAAAACCUACCCCAACAACAACUCCCACUCAAUGCCGUGACUUACCUACCCAUUCCACCAGAAAUUUGUGCUUAAACAAGUCCAUCAUCUCCCUAUAAAUACCAUGCAGCAACCUCAUUGAAUUCAUCCAGAAAUUAACCAUUCUCCAAGCCUUUCCUUGCCUCUCCUACAUAUCUAAACCCCUUCCCAUCCAUUCCUCCAAAUAACCAACCCUUCAACAUCAUUCCAACCUUGUUGUGGCGGCAAGGAGAAGGAGAAAAGUCCUUGGACGCGCUUGCUAUCCAACAUGGAUCGUUGGAACGUUUAGGUGCUUUCUUCCCUUUGUUUUUCAAUGGUUAAAUUUGUUUAUCUUUGUUUUGUAAUAAUGAGGAACUAAACCCCCCUUGGCUAGGGGGGGAUUCAAAAACCAUGUUUAUGCUUGCUAUAUGAUUUGAUUACUUCCAAUUGCGUUUCUUGAAUUGUGAAUUCAAUUUACUUAUCCGUUCGUAUAAAAACUAAUUUGUGUAUGUUGGUUGAAAGUGCACGCUUAAUUUUCAUGCAUGAAUUUGACGCUAGAAUAUAAGGGAGUUUCACCUAAUCGUUAUGAACUUAUAUUCACAAGUAGUGAAGGUUGCUAGUCACAAUCACGUUAAGUAAAUUCUUGGCAUAAGUUUCAUGCAAAUCAUAGUAACGAGUGCCUCGUCAAUGCUUAUGUUUUUCAUAGAACUUAAUGAUUCUUGCUUGUAUCUCUAUUAUGCAAUUCAUGUAGGGAACUUGUAGGGAGUGUUUUGGGUUGUCGUAUGCAAUCAUCCAAUCUAAUAACUUGUUGAAAAAAUGAGAGUUAAUUAGUGCAAUUCACGGUAAUUUGGGGCGUUGAGUAUUCAUAACUUAUCGAAGAGCAAUUGGAAAUCAUUUUGUAUGCAAGCAAGACAUGUGUGGAGAAGAACCCCUUAGCUAGCCUUCCAUUAUCCAUUCAACCCAAAUUUGUUUAAAAUCUAUUUAAGUUUUUAGUUUAUUCGUUUUUACUUUCAACUUCACCAAACUCAAAUCCCCCUUUUACUUUCUUGUUUUAAAGUCUUUUGUUUACAUUUUUAACUUUGUUUCUUUUUGUUUUUGAGUCAGUUUAGAGGUUUUAGCAAGCCCUCCUAAUCCCCGGUUUAGAACGAUCCCUACUUACAUCUAUACUACAAUUGUCAAAAAGAGGGUUUAAUUUGUGUGUCAAGUAAUUCUCGCAUCAACCGACUCCAUAAGUCUUGACAUUAGACAUGGAUCAUGGCAUGGCAUGGCUUGACCUUGCACCUUACCAACAUGGAAGGAAAGACAAUGCGAUGUUGGCUUCAAAGAGCAAUGCUAGCUUCAUUCGAAAGGUGCAGGGCAAGCUAUGUUGGACAUGUUGGCAAGCUGCGACACUUCGUUGAGACAUAUAUAUGUGUUCGGGCAAGUUAGGAUGUGAGUUGUACGCAGCGUGUUCAUAAGGUUGCAGAAGGCAGUAAGUGUGGAGUGCUUGCGGUUAAAGAUUCGAUUUUUUAGUUUAUGUAAGCAAGCUUCCGCUUUUAAUUGUUAAUAAAUCAUAUGUUAUACUCAAUUAUCUGAAAUAAGACAAAAUUUUCCAUAAUUCCCUUUCUUUCUCUGCCACAUGGACUCCACAUAAGCAUGUUAACAAAAUUCAAGUAAUGUGGGAUAUUUAGUUGAGUUUUAGAGUGUUAAAGAGAAACGAAUUGAAUUCUAGAGAAAGAGUUGAAACUAAAAUCAAGUUCAAAGGACUUUAUAAAAAAUAAACCUUAAAUUAAUAAAAAUCAACCACUUGUACUGUUUUCAUUAUUCGCAGAAUCAAAAGUAACAAGAAAAUGACACAACACUUUGAAUUCAAGACAUAUUGAAUGUCUUUAUACAUGAUUACAUUUGUGCACGAGUAAAUUAUUAAAGUGCACUCAAAGUGGGGAAAAUAGUAGGGAUGAUUGCUAAUUGCAAUUAACUUUUUAUAAAGCAUUUGUGUAUUGACCUAAUUACCAUAGAGAUGUACUCAACGGUUAUAUAAAAAAGAAAGUUUGAUUUGUCUUCUCAUUAUUCAAAUAAACUUUAUGUGAAUUGUGAUAAUAUUUUGUUGUCCCAUUAGAAAUUCGGAAUCACGAUCUUAUAUUGCUGCAUAAUCUAAACUAAUCAAUCAAAUUCUGAAUCUAGCAAUGGUUUUUUUUUUUUUUCUUGUGUCAAAAAUCAACUAGCAAUUGAUUACCGGUAACUGUUUCUUUUCUGUUGGAUGAGAUCUUGUUGGUAUGUUAUUUUGCAUGUGGUCAAUUUAAAUACAGUGACGGAUUUAGAAUUCUAAUCUUGAAAGAUCUUAUUUGUUUAGGCUGCUCUAAACCCAAAAAACAAAAAAAAAAAAAACAAAAAACAAAAAAAGGAAAGGGCUAGCGUAAAACAUCCAAGUUUUAUCUAAAUGAAAAUUGUGCACAUAGCAUGCAAAUAUUUUUAGUGAGAAAAUUUGUUGAGCACUAGGUUGAGUCUAUCGUCAUCUAUGUUCGUGUCGAAAAAAAUGCCAAAGCAAUUUACCGAGUGAUGUCGAGACUUUGUGCCAAGUGUUGCAAUACAUCUUGCCAAAUGUUGUCGAAAUUUUCAUAGAAGGCAUUUUAUCAAACACUUAAUAGGCACUAAAAGGUCUCUUAUCUAACAUUCAAAGGGUCGCCGAAUGACCUUCACAUGCGUUUACUUGGCUUUAGGAGGGUCCCAACUCUCUACGUAGAUUUGCACAUGAUUAAACCUAUGUUUUUUUUUUUAACAAAUGAUAUUAUUUACACUAAAAGGGUGGGCUUAACCUCACAAUGAGCUAGCAAUAAUGUGGUUCAAAUUCGUUUUUAGUGAGAAUCGAACCUAAGACUUCUCAUAAUACAAGUGAAGAAGAAUGUCACUAAACUGUAGUACUAAAUGGCGCUUAAACCUAUGUUUGUAAAUAUUCUGACAUAUCCCGACCUAGAUCGAGGCAUGCUGGCCGUCACGUGAGAAUGACAUAGCCAUGUGCACAGUGCGGAAGCAAUAGAGAUAUAAGGAAAUACGAAUAGCUAAAAACCAAAUCAACUAGAGCACUAGAUAAGAUAAGGUGCAAGUGUGAUAUUAAGUGUGAGUUCACAAUCAGAGUAUAAGUAGCCUAAGUGCAGUCUAGCAAGAUGAAUACUAAUUAUACAACCACAAAGAUAAUCCUACAUUGGUGAUAAUCUGUCAGAGCUGCUGUGAAUUCCUCGUAAGCCACUGACAAGCAUUCCUAACUAGAACUUGGAGGGGUGCAAAAUAGAAAGUGUGAGUGGGCAAAAACAAAGCUUUUCAAAACCAUUUCAUUUAACAAAAGUUUUAACCCCUCGCCAUAAAACCUGUAUAAUUUCUCAAAAAAAUAAUAUAUGCUAUAUUAGAAAUCAUGCUCAGGAUGAAAAUCCAUAGAAAUAUACCAUGCCAAAGUAUCUCAAUGAAAUGCCAUAAGUAAUCCAGUUAAAAUAUAUCAAUGCCAGAUAUUAUAUCAGCCAGAUCCACCUGACGUGACCUACACGGCUGCGCCUAUAACUGAUAACCAAUCUCAAUCAUAUCAAAUCCUGCACACGAGUCGAAACCACCUAAAAUGGUAUGUACAACAAGACUAUGUGUAAAAUAAAUAUGCUCUAGUGCUACGAUUAUGUGAAGACUGUGCGAAUAAUCGCGGGUCACCUACGAGUCGAAACCACCUAUAGUGGUAUGUACGGCAGGACUGUGCACCUAACUUGGAUCCAAGGUGAGCGUAUGGUGUGGGAGGUGAACAUCACAUGAAGGCCUGUGCCCUGGCCACGGGCGGGAGCACUAACACCAGGGUAUAUGUUUAUAGAUUCUCAACACAUCUCACAUAAUCAUCAAUUCACAUAUAAACAAUCUACAACUUACCUAAGCGUCCACAACGUCAAAUCACAUUAUGCAUACUAUAGUAAUUCAUACUCUAAAUAUAACUCAAUAUGCAUGGCAUUUCAAAACAUAAUUUCAUUUAAAAGCAUUUUCUGGGAAAAAUACCAAGUAUAUAAGUAUAUACUGAAAACUAAAAGCCCACUCACUGAUAUGUGGAAGGGUCGUAACCCCUGAGCUUUGCGUGACUGCGCUUGUCCUUAGGAUAUGUCUAACCUAUAUGCGAAACAACUAUAUAAACGUUAUUUAAAGCACACAACCAAAACUAGCUAAUAACUUCUUAUACAAUGCUCAAAUAGGGUGUUUGAAUAUACCAACAUGAUCUACUCAACCUCGUGAACAUCCCUAUAUUUUUAAAAUAAUUUUUGGAUGUCCCACGCGCUGGCCAAGGCAGGGCUAGACUCGCCACCACAUGCGGCCAAACCCUAACUGAGUGUUGACCCUAAAAACUACUAAGCCUACGUGGUACGCAGGUCAAGUAAUUAAUAAGUUAACUAUGUCAUUUGGUUGCUUGUAGGGCGUGCCAACUCGUCAGCCGAGGAGUAAAAUGUAUUGUUGUUGCGUUGAGCGCACGACUGACUUCUUGAUCUUGUGACUGCGAUCGAGGAAGGAACAUUCUCGACCUUAGGGUUCUAGAGCCUGAAGACAAGGCUGCUAGUUCUACGAAGUUCACAAAUCGUCGGCGCCGAAUUCGAUCACGAUGAUUAUGUUCAUAAGAGUAUAAGCACGUCGAAUCGACACCAGAGUAUAGGGACACAAAUACUUAAAACAAAUGUACGUCUUGAUUGUGAAAGUGGUUCGGCCGUCAGAAUGCCGAACUCUAAAACCUACUUGCAAAUACCCAAUCAUAAACAACUCGGCGUUCGAUGUGCCGAGCUUUAGUAACACAUCACUUCGCAGAUAAGGCUGAUGAGAUGACAUCUGCCAAUAAGGAUCCAAAAAUCCUUCUUGACCGAGACUUAGAUAGAUAACCAGUCGACCCUGUUACAGUGCUGUUUAUCCAAACUGAAGGUGCUUCAAGGUCGGCUAAUUCUACGGCAACAGUGCUGUUUAUCCAAACUGAAGAUGUUCGCCGGUUGCCUCCACAGUGCUGUUUAUCCAAACUGAAGGUAUGUCGGCGGAAAAAGAAAGUAAACAUCUCAAGGUUGUUGAGAGGUUUUGCAUAGAGCGAGAGUUUACACAUAGCAGUUUGUGUGUUAGUUAGAGGUGUCCAUUUUCCGUUGCCACUACCUCUGAAUUUAUAGUAUAUGUCCUUCACUCGGCAUGGUAUAGACUUGUAGAAUUUGAUUUCAAUUCAAACUCAUCAGCCAAUACUUUAGUCAAAGACUUCUCAAGAUAGGCGAGAGCCUAUCCUUUAGCCGUCAUCAUCAUCUGACUAUACUUAACCAUUAUUAAAAAAACACAUUUGUUUUUUCUUCCUUAUCCUUUGCAUGCCUCAAAAGAAACCGUGCCCUUAGACUAUCUCCUAGUUUAGUUAGGAAACCAUGCCCUCACAUCAAUGUUUUCCUUCUGUAUUUCCACCAUGUUGAUCCAGGUGGCGCUUAUGCAUGUAAAGUUUCAUGGGAUAAAAUCCCAACAAGCACAUUCACGUGGCCACAUCCAAAAGCAUAUACCAUUUGGCACCAUAUUUAUCUGCUGCCGCAUAUCCCAAUAUUCCAUAUGUUCAAAUCCAUUGGGAUAUAGACAAAUAUCAGAUUUAAACAAUUUAAUAUAUUAUUAAGAGAUAAUAUCAUGAUUAAAAUCACAACGUUAUUUCUCAAUAAUAAUUGAAAACCAUUUCAACUACCUUGUCAUUCGACGGACGUCGAUUACUCGGGCCGAUAGUGUAAAAUCGGGUCUAAACACUGAGCCUAACGGUCGUUAAGAAUAGUCCGUUAAAACCUUAAUAAAAGUUAACAGCGUUACCUGACGCCGUUAGAAUAUUCCAUCAGACUUGACAGAAUAUUCUUCUUUGUCUUCCUUGGUUCGCUGGAGACCGUCAUCGGCGCCGCUGCGAUCGCUGGUUUCUGGAAAAUAUUCAAACCUUCAUUUCUCACUCAUUUUUGCACCAAAAUCCAUGAAAUUUGUCUUAAAAUGAAGCUUAGAGUGAGUAGAACACAUUCUUACCACUUUCAAGCCUUGAAAUCCACGGGAUCUCGCAGGAGAAACCUCGAUAAUCUGGCCAAAAUUUGAAACUUGUCAAACUAAGCUUGCCGACGUCCAAAACACUCAAACUUUCUUCCCCGAGCUUCGUGAAGAUGUUGUAAAGCUUCUUAGGACCUCAAAACUCCUUGAAAAGUCCACAAUUACGAUCACAUGAAUAGUGCUCAAAAUCGGGGUUCUUGGUUUCUCAGGAAAAUGAAGGCUUCACAUCCAAUGAAAGGUAUGGAUGGGUACCUAAGCUCACAAGGAACACGAAAGCAGGCUCCUCGACGUCGAUUCGUGAAGAAAUGGUUUGGUUUGAUGUUUGUCCGUAUAGUUGUACGGACUUUCAGAAAAAUCCGAGAGCAGGAUAGGGAGAAGGGUCAAUGGGGUUGUUUGGGUGUGUGUGUGUGUGGUCCUAGUUUGGGCUACCAACCAAAACAAACAAAAGCUUAAGUCCUAAAUAGGUCCAAACACUUAGGAAAGAUUUUAAUUGGUCUGAAUCCUUAGCCCAAUAACAUAGACCACCACCAACACGCUCAAGGGCAAUUUAGUCAUUUCACGUCAUCGAUAAAAAAAUUAAUUUGGGAUGGACUGUGACACUAACGACUGUCAAAAAUUAAAAAACAAAAUCACGAUUUUUAUAAUUUGGUUAAAUUUUGAACCAAUCUAUCUAUAAAACAAAGUUUAAAAUCAUUUCAUGAUCAUUGACUCUAAUUUCAUUUUCUCUAAAAAGAUAUUACUUCAAAUUUAUCGAACAAUCAUUAGAUUAAAAAAAAAAUUGUUGAAAGGAAAAAAGAAAACAAAGAAAAAAGUAAAAUAUACGAUUAAAAUGGCAACCAAAAAGCAUGUAACUUUUUGUUUUUUUUUCUUUGGAUGAAACCAAAUGCAUGUAGGUACUUGUAUUAAAUCUAUAUACAUGCAUGUAUUCCUGGUGUGAACGUGAAGGUAAUGGAUACCUGACAAGUGCAGUGCAGCCAGCAAAAUGGUCCCGAGACAGGAAAUGGGUUUCCAUUACAACAUGAACAUGGUAGCUAACCAAAUGGACCAAAGUUUUAAAAACAUUAUUUAUCUGUGAGAUUCAUCAUUCAUAGCAGACAAUAUAAAAUGGGGAAUUAUAAUUACAUACUAAUACUCAUGUAUCUUUCCUUUAAUUUUGGAGUCCUGUCAAAUUUUAACAGCAGUGGUAUAUAGAAAUUUCUUAUAGUGAUUCAGUGUAUAAGAUAUUUUGAAUUUUUUAACAAUUAAUUUUUUGUUCAAAAGUAAAAGGUUUAAUAUCUAACCGUUAAAAAGUAUAUUUUCACUCUUCAAAAAUUCUAUAGUGAAUAUUUUGAAAUUUUAACUGUUAAUUUUUUUUUCUUGUUUUAAACUAGAUAUCUAAUAAAAAGCUCGGAGUGUAUGAUAUUAGGAGCGUCAUAGAAAAUCCCUUCAUUCUCCUCAAAAUUGUUAGGUAAAUUUUUUUUUUGGAUGAAGAAAGUUAGGUAAGUAGAAACUUAUGCAUUUCAAUAUAAAUAUAGUGUAAUGUUUCAACUAAAUUAUACGAGGUUGUUUCUAUAAUGUGACAAGUAUUGAGAGGCAGUUUAAAAUCACAAAACACAAGUAAAAUAUUAAGUCACUCAGAAAUGCUAAGUAAUAAAAACAGUUAAAUGUAAGUGUUUUUCAUAUAAAUUAACUAAACGAACAAGAGAAAACUAUAAAAAUUCCUAGCUAGUUGAUCAUUUGUUUAUUUGUUACUGUGAAAAUUGAUACCAAAAACAAAAAAGGGGUGGUCUUCUAGGAAACACUUUCAAGUCACGCUUUUCUUAGUAUGCUCACUUUUUGUUGAUGGGUUUUGUUUGGUUGCCUAGAAAAUGGAGUGAAAAGUCUCUUCGGCAAGCCUAGGCUUAUAUUGAUAUUAGCUAGGGUUUACAUGCAUUGUUUUGUAUUCUACUUGAGAGAAAAGUGUUGACGAUGUGAAAAAUAUAAAUGGCAGUUUUCAAGAGAAUCGACUUCAGAUAAGAGCACACUCUCUCUUCUGAAACUCGUCAAAUUUGCAGAACAUCAGCAGCACUACAGCAAGUGAAAGUUUGUAAUUUAUCUUCAACAUUAACUUCUUUUUUCUUUGUUUGCCGGAAUCGUGUCGGGAUACAAAAAGAUUGAAUGCUCUUACCCAACUGCUUACGCAUGUCGUUUGCUUUCUUUCUGUGAGCUUUUGGUGCUCUCUGUGAAAUGGCUAGGACUAAAUUAGUCAGUUCCUCAUUGUGUUUUGCUGUCCUAAUUUCUUGCCUAGGUCUCAUUUUCUUGGUGAACUUUGACUUGUUCUUCGCUUUCCUUGUUACAAUUUCUAUCCUCUCAACUAUUUUGCUCCUCGCCAACACAAAUAAAAAGCUGGUUAUUUUGGACGAGAAACCAGUCGGAACUGGGAAUCUCCCCGGAGGCCAAGAAAACCUGCCGGAUGCGGAGCAAGUUAGAGAGCAGCUGCUAGUUCGUAAAGAUGUCAAGAUUUCAAAGUCGGACCAGCAACUCACUACUAGUUCUUCCAACGUCGACAUGGAAUUGUUGUAUUCUCUAGCACAAGAAGCGGAAAGUGAAAAAGACGUUGUAAAAGGGCUUCAUCAACUGGUAGAGACUCUCACAGAAACUGCCCAACAAAGUGACCAAGUUGAAAUUUUGGAUUCACCAUCAGAAAUAAGUGAUAAUUUGGAUGAAAAGUUUGAAGUUUCUGAUGAUUGUUCAGUCUCUGAUGAUGAAGAAGAAGAUAGCCUCAUUGAGAUUCCGCUGCAGUCAAAUUUGCAACAAGGUGUGAAAGAGGUGUUGGGAGAUAUGAGUGAGAUGAAUGAAGAAGAAAAUCUGAUUGAGAUUGACAUUUCAAUGGGCUCCAUCAAGUUUCCAAGGUUUCAGAGAGAGAUUAUUCAAGCAUGAUGUAUCGUAUCAUAUCACUUGUAAAUUAUUUUUAUUCUACAGGUCAAUUUAAUUCAUGUUUCAAGUUUUGAUCGAUGCUAAUUUUCUGUUUUUAGAAAGCUGAUUAGGUAUUUAGCAAGUAGAACCAGACUACUAACUUUUAUACAACAUACACUUAAUUAUGAAUUAAGGAAUUGGGUCACACACAUACGGAUGGAUAUAUAUAUAUUUAAUUCAGUUAACUCAGAUCCGAGAAUAUGUCGAAAAUAUCCAAUAGACAAAAACAAAAACCAACUUCUAUUCCCAAAAACGUGAGAAAAUUGUUCAAAAAUUAAAUUAGAAGGGUAAAAUUUCGGCCAAUUUAGGCCCCAUGUCUAACAAUUAUAAGCUUCCCUAGGUGCUGAUGCCUCUUGGAAUUUAGAAAUCUUCAAUUUGGUAUACUUAGGAUCACCUUCUUGAGCAAAGUUUGACUUUUGAUGCUUUUAUGACAUGAAUGAUUUCCGCAACAACUAUAGGAAAUGCAAAGCAAAGUGGAACCAAUGGUCAAUUGUAUUAUGGUGGAAGUACGUCUCAAGGUCUACAGGAUCUUGAUUUGUGUGGACUUUGUCCUAAUUCUUGAAGCUGAAGGCCUUGAGAGCUAGAGAAUUAUGCUUCAAGGAUGAUUGCCACCCUAAAGUGGGCCUCUAUUAUGUCUCCCCUGAGGCGCAUGUUAGGGGUUGGAAUCCUUGCUGCGUCCCCCACACCUUUUAUGGUGGUUUGGGCCUCAAAUGCAUUCUAAUUGGCUUCAGGCAAUGGAAUGACAUUCGAGCUAGUAGGGCAAACUUGAUGGUGUUUCAUUAAAAUUUGAUUGUUCUAUCAACAAGAUAGAAUCAAAUCCGAGAACUUAGUGAAGUUCUAAGCCUUUAGUGUUCUGGAUGACAAUAUUCGAGAUAUCUUCUGUACGACACUCAAAUUUUACUUGAAGGAUUAAGAAAAUAAGAAACUAACACAUUAAGCAAGUCUUGUAAUCAAACACAUGGUAUUUUGGAUAAGUUUAGAGAAAUCUUUAAAUGUGGUAAACACGAGAGAGAGGAGGGGGGACUAGAGAAGGGAGUUUGGUUGACCUGAAAAUGGGAGGGGGGAGGGGGAAGAUGUGAUUUUUUGUGUUUUUGCCGUGUUGUUGAAGUGAAUUUCUCGACAAAAACACUAAUAUGUGAUAGUACUAAACCACGUUUUAUAAUAAAAGUUACGACAUGGUCAAUGUUUCAUGGACUUGUGAUGCAAUUCAAUAACUCGAUAUACACCACAUGACGAAACCAUCAUGCUAAAAUCUUACUAAAGUUUAAUACGGUGCACCAAACGAGGCCUUUAAACCGAACCCAAGUGACCUGGCCCAACAGCAACCGAUAUGUCCAAUCCAUUAUUAUGGAGGGAAGGCACUCGAGAUGGAGCUCACAGCCACGGCCCCGCGAUCUGCUAAGAAAAAUCAGAGGUCAGAUUUCCCAAUUUUAUCAAAAUUUCGAAUUUGAAAUUCAAUUUGUUCGAGUAGACACUAAUUUCUCAUUUUCCAUUUCCUAUUUUUUGUGAAUUUAUUUGGGUGCCCAGAAUUUGCUCUAGCUAUGAUUGAAGAUCUCAGCAAUGGACGGUCUCCGGAGAUUUUCAUCGAUCGCUUCAGAAAUUACUGCACGAAUCCCGAUUCAAAUUGGUUAGAUCCUAAGCUUUCUUUCUCGAUUUUAGUUGAUUGUUCAGAUUUUCCUCUAUAUUCUCAGCAACCAAACAAGCGCCACAGAAUUCUUACGUUUAUGAUUCACUACUUGUUAAUGCAUUAUUACUACGUUUUAAAUUUUAGUUAUCGAAAUUGUUAUGCUCUGAGCAGCUAUUGUAGUUUUGAUUCACCGAAAGGGCAGGAGAUUCUCACGCUUCGAAGAACAAGCCAUGUGCGUAGAUUAGGUAGGAUUGUUGUGCUUGCCAUGGAACAUGAUUUUUUUGGCUUCGAAAUGCAUUUCGUUAUUUGUCUUUAUUAAUGUGCAAACACUUAUCAGAGGCAUAGCACGCCGUAGAGCCGUGCAUGUAUUUUUGUCAGACUAUCAAUGUCAAUGUAUAUGUGAUCAUGACUGAGUCUUACAAUAUAACAGACAAUAGAACGUUAUCGGAAAUGUUUAAGAGAUUUUGUGAAGUGCAUUUGUUAUUGAUGAUUAACUGGUUCGCGUAAUCUGUUUCAUAUGUUUUUCUCAGGGUUUUGUUGAUUAUUCAGCAACUUCUGCAAGAAAACAGACAUGGAUCUAAGGCCUGAUUUGGUACUGAGGUGAUUUUGAAAAAAGUGGGUAUAAAAAUAAGCUGGGUUGUGUUUGGUAAACAUUCAGCUUCGGCUUUUUUUCACAGUUUUGGGUAAAAAAAAAAAAAGCCAAAAACACAAAGCUGCAAAACCCAGUUUUGAAAAACCGGUUUUUUUUCACAUCUGUUUUACAUAAAAGUUUACCAAGCACUAUAAUAUUGCUUUUUUUUUUUUUAAAAAUCACUUUUACAAAAAAGUUUACCAAACACGCAGCUGCUUUAUUUCACAGUUGCUUAUUCUCACAGCACAGCAGAAACAGUUUUUUUUAAAGCACAACAAUACCAAACCAGCCCUAAGAGGGAUAUCUAUUACAUGCAUCCUUCUAUAUUUUCAGGUGAUCUGAGUUAUCUUUCAUUUCCAGUGUCAAAGCAUAAUCCAUACUAUAUGAUAUAGUUCGUUAAGGGACCUUGAACUUGGAUUAUGAUAAAUUGUAUUCUUUGUAAAUUUAGUAAACCUUGACAAAUGCAAUAUAUUUUGGGCCUUAUAUUUUUCAUAUCAUCAUGGAGAACACAGGAUUUCUGUUUAGACAUGAUCUUUAAUAAUUUGAAGUUCUUGAUGUGGUAUGUUCGCGGUCUCUCCAUGUAAGUAGUAAUAUUUUCUGCUUAAAUUACAAUGCGGAUCAGUCAGUCGUAGACCGUGCAAUCAAUGACAUAUGCAUCCUUCUGCAUUGUAGUCGCCACAAUUUGAAUGUCGUGGGUACUCCGAUUUUUUCCAUUGCUAUUUUAUUUAUAUUAUUGUACUCGAGCCUGUUAUGUACGAUUAGUAUAAUAGCAUUUUGAUAAGCCUGCUCAUAAUUUUGUGGUAUUUAUUUCAUGUUCCUCCUUUUGACAGGUGUCUGUAGGAAAGGGGUACGUAUGAAAAAUUUCGCUUGAUUUUCAAAGAAAAGAAGAUAAUGGUGUACUUUCCUGUUUGAUUUUGUAUGAAAAUGACUAAUGCCAAUACUUACACCUUUAAAUGCGCGCAUUCCUGGUUUUAUUGAAUACUUUGUUAAUCUUGAGUUGAUCGACUUCCUCCCCUGUGGUAGCAUUAGAUUUUCGUGGCAUUGAUAACAAUGAUAACAAUUCACAUAUUGUCAAACCAGAAUGUUAAAUGACAUGCUUUAUAGGUUGGUAAUGGGCUGGUUAAGGUUCUUAGAAGCUGGAAAUGUAUUUGAUUGCAUAAAUAGGCCCAACACAGUAAGAAUGGAUCUAAUUUGAUUUUUUUAAAUGAUUUGAUGAUAUCUUCUUCAUUGUCGCCUUACUGUGUCUGAACUUAAAACUUUGCAUCUGGUUCACAUACAGGCCUUCCCUGUCCCUAUUCAUGUUGAAGAGGUUAAAGGUAUCCAGAUGAUUAAGAGAGAAUAAUUAAAUUUCCGUGUUUAGAAACAAUGUUAUUCAAUUUUGAUAAUCUAAAUGUUAUAAACGCAUUGCUAAUCCUUAUAGACCAACCCUAAGUGUCCAAAGAAAGAAAACUCAAACCUUUAAUUCUAACAUGCAGAUAUUGUCAGUGUAGCUCGGUACAUACUUGUUGUGGAGAAAGAAUCAGGUAUACCAUUUUUUUUUUUUUUUUUGUAACUCUGACGCUUUAGCAUGAUAGAGCUUGAUUUUGAUACGUGCUUCCAUCAACAAACCAUCAUUUGUUUAUAUAUUUGUACAAUUUUUCAAUGAUUGGCAAAUGACCAGUUUUGCAACAAAAACCAUUGCAUCGUUACCACCGUAAGCAUACACCUUUUGCUUUGUCCAUAUUAACUCUCUUGGAUCCUUGCAACAGCUUUUAUUAUUUUUAUGGGUGUUUUUCUUCACAGGGGCGUGGCUAUCCUGAUAUUCCCACAAGAAGGUAAAGAGUCCCCAUCAAACUUAAAAUGGGAGUAGGUAGUGCCUUGCCUUAUAUGCUGUUUGCACGUUCGUUUCCUUUUUGUCUAUUUAGUUCUUAUAAUUUUCCGUUAUAUUUGCUAGGUUUUUGGGGCUCCUUGUUGAUACUCUGCAUCUCCCUAUCUAUUGCUUGGUAGAUUGUGAUCCGUACGGUUUUGACAUCCUCUCGAUGUAUCGGUUUGGUUCUAUGGUUAGGCUUGCUGAUUAAUCCGUUAAAUUGUUAUCUACUUUUUGCCAAGUUGACUAGCAUGUGAACUACCUAGGAAAACUGCACAUAUUGAAGAUUAAGAAGUGCUGAAGAAGUCAAUUGUUUUGUAGACUGCUCCUACAUUGUAACGAAGCUCAAGUUUAUAUCAAUUUAACGCACUCCCAUUGUUAUGUAAGCAAAUGGUCUAUGAUGCAAAAUUUCUACGCGUCCCCGAGGUACUCUGGCUUGGAGCCUUCCCUUCGGACUCAGACAAGUACGGUCUUCCACAACAGUGUCUCCUUCAUUUGACGGUAGAAGGUGAGAGAUAUGGUGCUUUACAUUGGCAUUUCUUUGUUUGUAACCUUCCUGAGGUUCUUCAUGCCAGACAAGAGGAAAACGGAGGCCAUGCUACUUCGAUGCUACUUACAGAAUGAAGCGCCGCCAGUGGAGGUAAGACUCUGUAGGUUUCUUAUCUCAUUCUUCAUAUGACUGGAUUGAUUAAAUUACAUUUCAUAGUUUUACUCUUUCUAAUGACAGAUUGGAGCUACAGUUGAUGCUGGAAAGAGGAGUGAAGUUUGAGUUAGAAGCGUUGUCUGUGCACGAACUUAACUAUUUGUCGGAGGUGUACAUACCAUCUAAACUUCAAGGUGGAGUCCACAUCUAACACCAUCUAAAUCUGUAUUACUUAGAUUGUAGGAUAAACGAAAUUAUCGGAUUUCUGCAAAGCAUAAUCAACAUUUGCAUUUGCAAACCAUUGUUAAGUGGACAAACAAUGAUCUGAAAACACAAAACUGGAAUGCCACAAUAAUUAGUGAUGUAAUUCCUUUGUGAUUAUGGUGCGCUAUCGUUUUUACCUUUUUACUUGCAUCCGAAGUCUCUGUUUCUCGGUGGGCUAAAAUCGUGCUUCGCUUUUGAACGCGAUCCUGCACAAACAGAAUUCUGACAGAUUGCAAGGCACUGAGUUUAAUUUGGUGAAAUGUGAUGACCCUGGUGAAUACCAUUGGAUUACUCAAUCAUCCUAAUAUGGAUCAGGCCUUGUGAUUCUAUAAUAUCGCUUGAAAAAAAAGAAGUAAAAAGACUCUUUUGCUUAUAUAUUUCCAAGUUCCGGGCACACUGUUGACGUGGAGUUCCACCAACUAUGACAUGACACGUGUGUGUUUUUAACAUCAUGACUUGAUGGCUUUUAUUAAUAUAACACCAACCUUCUCCCUUCACUCUCCCUUCACCGUCUCUAUCCAUACCGACAACGAAGCAAUUUCCGACCAAAACAUCACCACCACCUUCAUCUAAGGUUCUAAAAGACAUUAGGCGCUAGUCAGUGGCAGGUUGGGACCUAGCAUCUAGACGGAUUUAAGUAAGUAUAUUAUAUAUCGUAUAAAUAAUUGUCUAAUUAUACUUAAUAAUUUCAUUGGGAUAUAAAAGAAUCCGAUUAUAUAUCUUUUAUAUUAUAUAUAGAAUGAAUAAGUGUCUAUCUAAGUAAGAGACGUGACCUAGGCGAGUGUCUAGGUGGGUCUGGACGGGCUAGGCGACGCCCUAAGCUAGUCUAGGUGUCAUUUCUAAGUUUUCAAACGCCUAGAUAUUAAUCGGGCCGGUGGCUAGCCUAGGCGGGGAUUUUAGAACAGUGGCCACCACCAAGAUCAAAGUUAAGUGAAAGAACACGUGACAGAUGAUUAGGUGUACGGUAAACAUAUACUUAGUAUAUGGUGGUGAGCAAAAAUGCUCUCUUCUUUAAAUGGUGGGUCUGUGUUAAAAUUGUACAUGUGUCAAGUCAUGGUUGAUGGAACUCCAAGUCAACUAAUGAGCCUGGAACCUAAAAGCUUUUCUCCAAAUGUACAGGUGUCAUGUUAUGGUUGGUGGAACCCCAUAUCAGCUAAUGAGCCUUGGAAAAAUUUCUUUUAACCAACUAAGAAGAUAUCAAAUUAACUGUUGGUAUCUUGUCGAUAUUAAUUUCUUCUUAAUCAAUUUGAAUUUGAUCUAUUUUUUUCUUUUUGAAUGUACUAUGACGACUGAAUGUCCACAUUCACACUUAUAUCUCUCAAUCCGAAUUAAGAAGUAAAUUCGAAUAUUAAAAAUUACGUGACUUGUAUUAGGCAAUUCAUCCAAUAAUAAAACGUGGUUUUAUUACCUCUUCUGCAAGGUUUUACAGAGUGAAAUUGUUGAAACACUAAUAUUCCUGCUCGAAUCAAACUUAUAUGGAAAUAUCCGAGACCAGAGAUUUUAGGAAUUGAUCCAGAAUGUAACAGCCAAAAUACAACUAUAAAACAUGGAAAUUCAUGAGUAAUUAUCUUUUUAAAAAUAAUAUAUAAACGACAUAAAAAUAGGUCAGACUAUGAAUCGGUUCAGACAACAGUAAGCUGUGCAAGAAAACACCAUUCGGAAGAGCUACCAAGAAAUUCUAUCAGAAGCUCUGAUGGAUUCUUCUGUUGCACAAAUGGUAAGAUUAUAACACUUUUAAUAUUUCUGUCUUUGUAUUUUUUGUUAACGAGGCAAUAUUUUGAAUUACUCUAAUUUAUGAAAGGAAGGUUUGAACUGGGUGCUGGCAGUGGGCACAGUGUUGUUGGACAACUGACUUAACUCGCAUAUGUUAUCUUCGUUUGUUUUUAAUUGUAAUUUAUUUUAUUUUAUUUUAUCUUAUCUUAAUUUGAUAUGAAUUCGUUCUUUUGCAGAGUUGUGUUCUGAAAGUAAGCAUCAAUUGUGAAGCAUGCAGGAAAAAGAUCUAUGAAGUCUUGCAGAAUAUUUAUGGUAUAUAUUUUUCAUUUUCCCCCUCCUUGAUUUACCCUUUUAUUUUUCACUAAUAUGAAUUUAUUUAUUUUAUUUUGCUUAUGUGAAACUUAGGUGUGUAUAAAAUUAACAUAGAUGCAGAGGGAGGAACGGUAAAAGUUUCAGGGAAAGUAAAUCCAAGUACACUUCUAAUGGUGUUGGAAGGGUCAGGGAAACAUGCAGAAGUAAAAAGUGUUACGUUCGACGGUGAGGUCAAGAACGAUUGGGGUGGGGGAUACGAUUAUUUUGGAGAGGCUGGAUAUGGUUAUGGUUAUAACCCUUAUGGAGUGGCGCCACCGCCAUUUUAUCCCUAUCCGCCGUAUGGAGGGUAUGACUACCACUGGUAUGAUCCCGGUCGUCUCAAAAUGAUGCCAUUGCCAGCGCUGCCCCCACCACCAUUGGCGUUACCUUCGUCAUCGCCACCGGUACCACAGCAGUCUCAACCACCACUGCCACUACAAUUACAAUCACAAUCAGUGCCACCACAACCACCAAAAACACCGGCACCACCAAAUCAGGCGCCACGACCACCGCCACCGGCAGCCAAUGCUGCACAGACAAUAGCGAAACCAGCGGCCAAAUCGGAUAAGAAAUCUAAGUGUUGUAUCAUGUAAGGUGCUGAAAUAGGUCUAGGAUAGCUAGACGGCUUAUUGUUCAUUCAUCAUACAAGGAUUUCCCUGAUAAUUAUACCAUGUAAAUUCGGAACUCAUUUUUUUUCUCUCCCCUUGACAUUUCAUGUCGAAAGAAUUUUGGUCUAAAUGUUUAAGAAAUUACAUGUGUGUUGUGGCCUAUAUAUAAUGAGAGAAAGAGAAGAGGCACGAUAUGUAGAGAAAGAAAGAUGCAAAAUAGGCUUGAAGAAAUGUGUGUUAUUCUCCAUACCUCAUGCUUUUAUUUAUAGUAAUAAUGAGGAGGGAAAACUUGUUUUCCAAGUCAUAAAAAGUUUAAUAGGAAAGAUCUUUUCGAUCCCGAAGAAUUCCUAACUUAUUUCUACUUAGGAUUUACACAAUCACAUAUGUAUGAGAAUGUAUAUCACAACACUCCCCCUUGAGUGUAUAAAUACUCAAGUAGAUGACCCAUUAGAUCUUUCGGCAAAUGUAGAACCAGUUGAUCAAGUCACCUCGUCUAGUCGGCACAAGUGACAAAUGCGAGUCUCAAAACAAACAGAAGGAUGCAUAGGUAGUCUACUCACAAAACAUCGCUAUGGUAUAAUGUAUGAUGUAGGAUGUAUGAGAAUAAGACUAAAUCAUGUAGCAGUGUUGUACAUAGAUGAUCAUACUUGGUUAAUCCACAUUGGGGACCAUACAUAUUUUAGGGGUGACUCUACUUGGUUAAUCCGCAUUGGGGUUCACUACCUACUUGGUUACACUGUUCUCAGGAUCCCCGAGUCAUUACUGGUACAUUACUUAUUUGUGGUAAUCCGGCUAGAGUUCUGAUUGAUUCGGGUGCUACAUUUUCAUUUGUAUCUCCAUCAUUUGCACAAAUUAUAAAUUCGCAACCUACACCGCUUGGUUUUGAUAUGCUAGUACAAGUGGCACAUGGAGAUCUCUUCUAUGCGCAGUGGGAAUAUAGGAAUUGCCCAGUGGUAGUUGAAGGGGAACUCAUGGAGCCUAAUUUAAUUCCCUUCAAACUAGCGAAGUUCGAUGUUAUCUUCGGAAUGGAUUGGUUAUCUAGGCACCAUGCUUAUGUCGGUUGUAGGGAGAAGUUUGUGACGUUCAAUCAGCCUGGACGACCGUUAGUCAUAUUUCAGGGUGAGCGACGAAUCCUUCCUAAUAGUAUUAUUUAUGCUAUCCAGGCGACUAAGUUGUUGCAUAAGGGAUGUGUGGGAUUCUUAGCCCACGUAGUGAUGAGGGAUGAACCUUCUUUGCGUCCUGAAGAUGUGCCAGUGGUGAAAAACCUCACCGAUGUAUUUCCUGAGGAUUUGUCAGCGUUGCCACCAGCGACGGAGAUCGAAUUCACCAUCGAUUUGCUUUCAAGAACAAACCCUAUUUUCUUAGCACCGUAUCGAAUGACACCAGCAUCGUUGAGAGAAUUGAAGAUACAACUGACAUCAUCUAAAUCUAACCCAACACCUUUUAAGGUCCAAACCCUAAGCCUGAAACGAAUCUAACCCUUUGACCUAAAUGGAAUAUUUCGUUAGGGAAUAUUCCAUCCUCAGGGAAUGUUAUGUCCGUCAGGGAAUAUUUCGUCAGGGAAUAUUCCUGAAAUAUUCUUUUUGUUGACUUUUUGUUGACUUUUCGAUAUUUACCUGGGACACUUCUUAUAGUAAUUCGACGUCCUGAAUCCGUUUUUAACAUCCAUUUUUCCAAAUUCAAUCGUUUGAAUAUGAUUUUAUUAAUUGGACCCUUUAUGUGCUUAUGUGCAUUUAUUGUGGCGUUUCCGUCUUCGUUAGUUUACGUGGCUCUACGAUGACAGAGUACCUGUGACUGGACCCCUUCUAAAAUGCAUGUUUUAACAGUAGAAAUGCAUACAUGAAAAUCAUGAUUUAAUGAUUACGUUUUAUGAGAUAUUAUGCUUACUUAGAAUAUUUUGGAAUACCAUAUUUUCUAUCGAAUCCAUGUUCUUUGUAGGAUAUCUGAUGGAUGACAAUAUACUAUUUAGAACAUGUUUUCACACACUUCUUUAUAGUAUAGAUGAUGGAUGUCUUUAUACUAUGAAGAUGAUUUUGAGAUAUAUGUACCUAUGUUUGGAAAGACUAUAUUCAAUGUUUUUGUGUGUAUCUAGUGAUCACUAUUCUGCCUUCGGGUCGAUUGAAGAUUAUUAUAUUGGCCUUCGGGUCGGGAGAUAUUAUAUUGGCCUUCGGGUCGGGUGAUGUAGGGGCCUUCGGGUUGAUUGAAGAUUCAUAGGUGAUGUAGGGGCCUACGGGUCGAUUAUGAUACCACUAGUUAGCACAUUAUAAAUGAGAUUCGUUUUAUGAAAGGUUUUAUGGUAUGCUAGGGUUUUCGGAAAACCUAUUACAUAUUAUACUAUUGAAUUUCCAUAAAACUUUGGGGGUUAGUAUGCUGAUAACUAUUUUUAUUAUAUAUAUAUAUAUAUAUAUAUAUAUAUAUAUCAACUUGGUCCACUUAUGUUGUUUUGCGCCCCUUCAUGACUUAGAAUCAAGGCGUAUAAUCCUGGCGUCAAGGUACUUCCGCAUUGGCAUCUUUGAGUUCUCUCGGUGUAGGACCCAUUCUUUUAUUCAUUCAAUUUUAUAUUAUUUCUUUUAGUAUUUCUAGUUAGUUGUAUGCUCUGAACACGUUCUUCAUUCAUAUAUUAAUUAUAUUGAAAUUGAUAAGUCUUAUUUAUUCUUGUUCUCAUGCAUUCUAAAUGGCUUGUGUCACCUUCGGGUGUUGGCCAGCACGUACCUAUCAUGGUGUUCGGAGAAUAUCGGGGUUGGGGCAUGUCAAAUUGUACUUGAUAUAUCCGUGAUAGGUGAUCACUACCUAAUGUUAUAUGAAUUGGUCAUGCUUAAUUAAUCCACAUUGGCAGAUUAUACACAUUAUCAUGGUGAUUCUGUUGAGUUGGUCUGUAAUCCUAUAUCUGAUGGAUUUCGUUGAGUUGGUCUAGAAUCCAACUUCCUCUAUGGUUCCAUUGAGUUGGUCCGGAACCCUAUAUCUGAGGGAAUCCAUUUAGUUGGUCUGGAAUCAUACUUCGUGCAUGGUUCAGUUGAGUGGUAUGGAACCCCAUAUUCUUGGGAUUCCAUUGAGUUGGCUUGGAAUCCUAGUUGUUAGAUGGUUAGUUAAGUAGUCUGGAAUCUAAUGAGUCGUGCUUGUUGAGUUUCAUUAAGUGGUUAUAGAACUCUACGUUUUCCUGCUAGAUAAUUCCAUGAGAAAUUGUGGAAGUCAUUGCAAAUACAAGUUUUUUUAGCUUAACGAAAUUGUAAACUAUGAUUGGCUUGAUCCUUCCCAGGAUACAUAGGCAGUGUAACCCUAAAGUUAGGUGCAACCAUAAAAUAAGAUGAAAAUCUACUAUAUUGUUGAAUUAAUGAUUAUUUUCGGUACUUCACUUUGUGGGACUAUUUGUUUAUAGGUGCUUUAUGUGUGUAUUUUACUGAAGUAUUGAAUUUAGCUUAAUUUUAUGUGGUCAUUUCGAUACGGCAUGUGUUGAUUCUAGACGCAUCUUGGAAUCUGGGCAUGACAAAAACAAGUAUUAUUCAGAAUAAACAAUAAAAAAAAAGGAAAACUAAUGAAAAUGACUUGAAAACUUUGAGUUUUCACGAAAAUGACAAAAUAAAGAAUAAAGUGAAUAGUAACAUGAUUGACUUUUUAGUGUAAAAAUGUGGUUUUUCGUUAAAAUGAACAGUACCAUAAGCUUUUCGUUAAAAUUUCCUAAAAACAACUUACAUGCCCAUGUCCUAGCCCUCCUAAAAUGGGUCGAACUACUUUUAGAAAAAUAUGAAGCAAUCUCAGAUAGAAAUUGGAAUUGGAAUUCACUUAUUCCUGUAUAUUCUUUCGUUAUCCCCACCCACCAAGGGGUCUCUUCAUUGAAUGGCAAAUGGAACUUGACAAUCCAAGUAGUCAAAUCCAUUGGAAAUUAACUUCACUUUGAAGGAAGGAGGAGAGGACCAAUCAUCAUAUAUGGACAAACUACAUGCUCUGUGAUGUAAAUAUUCCCAGAUAAGGGGUGAAAAUGAAAGCUCCAGGUUUCCAUCCACACAAAUGUAAAGACUUCAUCCACCUAUGUACCAAUACCAUUCGACAGUGUGAGACAAAUUCAAUCCCUUUUAAAAAUCAAAACAAAAUUUGUGUCUUUUGACACGUGAGAAAGUUUAAGGAAAAAUUAUAGUUAGCCGUUCCGUUCUCUUAAUUUUUAGACUAAAUAUUUGUAGCUUUCUAUUUCUUAUUAAGCAUUAUAUUUUCGAUUUUAAGUGCUUUAACUUAUGUCCACAUUAGUUAUUUAUCUCUAAUCAUAUAAAGUGUUAGAGUAUUUUCAAAGGAGAUAUCAAAAAUUUCACAUAAGUAAUUAUGGUAAAAAAAGAAAGCACGCAUGUUUCCAAUCGAAAUGUCAAUUUGUAUGUGCCAUGACAUGGAAUGGUAGCAGAGGAAGUUGAUGUCAAAUUUGAUAGAUAGCAGCUUCAAAUCUAUUUUAGUGGAUAAUAAAUACUUUUUAUAAUUUUUGUUAUUAUCUUUUGUUUAAAAAAAAAAUACUAAUUACAAUUAUGAAAAGUAAAUAUUGCAAUUAAUAAUAGUUUAAAUUUGACAUAUUGGGUGGAGAACAAAAUUUACAAAAAUAUUAACGUGCCACAUAAGCCUUCAAAUUUAAAUUUUGUGUUUAAAAUUUAACAUCUCCUUUAGGGAUGGUCUUAGCAUUUUAUUUUUUUCUCAUUUGAUUUUGACACACCCCGACCUAGAUUGAGGCAUGCUGGCCGUCACGUGAGGGUGACGUAGCCAUAUGCACUGUACGGAAGCAAUGAAGAUAUAAGGAAAUGCGAAUAAAUAAAAACCAACUAACUAGAGCACUAGAUAAGGUAAGGUGCAAGUGCGACAUUAAGAGUGAGAUCAUAAUCAGAGCAUAAGUAGCCUAAGUGUAGUCUAGCAGGACAAAUACUAAUUAUACAACACCAAAGAUAAUCCUACAUUGGUAAUAAUCUGUUAGAGUUGCCGUGAAUUCCUCGUAAGCCACCGAUAAGCACUCAUAACUAGAACCUGGAGGGGCGCAAAACAGAAAGUGUGAGUGGGCAAAAACAAAGCUUUUCAAAACCAUUUCAUUAUCAAAAGUUCUAACCCCUCGUCGUAAAAUCUGUAUAGUUUCCCAGAAAAUAGAAUGCAUAUAUAUAGAUAUAUAUCUCAAAACCAUGCUUAGAAAACGAUAUUCAUAAGUAUGCCAUGCCAAAUAUCUCAAAAUAACAGAAUAAGUAACUCAAGUGAAAUAACAUAUCAGCCAGAUCCAUCUAAAGUGGCCUGUACAGCUGAAUCCAUAGCUCAACAAGUAUGAUUGCACACGAAUCAGAACCUCCUAAAGUGAUUUGUACGACAAGACUGGGUGUAAAUAAAUAAAUACGCUCUAGUGCUACGAUCAUGUGAAGACUGUGUGAAUAAUCGCGGGUCACCUACGAGUCGGAACCACCUAUAGUGGUCUGUACGACAGGACUGUGCACCUAACUUGGAUCCAAGGUGAGCGUAUGGUGCGGGAGGUGAACAUCACAUGAAGGCCUGUGCCCUAACCAUGGGCGGGAGCACUAACACCGGGAUGCAGGUUUAUAAAUUCUCAAUACAUUUCACAUCAUCAUCAAAUCACACAUAAGCAGUCUACAACUUACCUGGUACUUACCUGAGCGUCCACAGCGUCAAAUCAUAUUUAUGCAUACUAUACUAAUUCAUACUCUAAGUAUAAAUCAAUAUGCAUGGCAUUUCAAAACAUAAUUUCAUUUAAAUGCAUUUUCUAGGAAAAAUAUCAAGUAUAUAAGUAUAUAUUGAAAACCAAAAGCCCACUCAUUGAUAUGUGGAAGGGUCAUAACCCCCCGAGCCUUGCUUGACUACGCUCAUCCUUAGGAUAGGUCUCACCUAUAUGCGAAACAACUAUAUAAACAUUAUUUAAAGCACAUACACAAAACUAGGAAAUAACUUCUCAUACAUUGCUCAAAUGGGGUAUUUGAAUAUACCACCAUGGCCUUAGGAACACCUCCAUAUUUUUAGAAAAAUGUUCCGAGCACCCACGCACCCUCACGCGCCGGCCAAGGCACGGCCAGACGCGCGGUCCACGAGCAGGCACGUGCCUGGCACACCAAACGGAUUUCCUAACUGCAUUAGGGAAUAUUUUGUUAAAAAUAAGUAUAUACCGUUAUAAUUACCUGAUGGCGUUAGAAUAUUCCGUCAACUUUGACGGGAAUAUUCUCCUCCUUCUUCCUUGGUUCGCCUGAGUUUGGUGCCAGUGCCGCUGCUAUCGCCGGAAACUGGAAAAAUCUUUAAACUUCAAUAUCUUCUUCGAUUCUCAACCAAAAUUCAUGAAUUAUAUACCAAAAUGAAGCUUGUGAUGAGAGGAACAAUUCCUUACCACUUUCAAGUCUUAAAUCCACCAUAAAUUAGCCGGAAAAACCCACGAUAAUCCGGCCACCUCUACAACUCCGCGAACUGGGAUUUCCCGACGUCCAAAAUCCUUCAAAAUUCUUCUAAAAGCUUCGUGAGGACUAUCUAAGGCUUCCAAAGGCUCAAAACUUCAAGAAACACUCGCGAUCACGUCGAGGUCACUGUGCACUUCCUCGGAGCUUCUUGGUUCUCGGGUUUUCGAGAGUUUCACGUCCAACCAAAACCACUACUCGACUCCUGAGCUUGAAAGGAGCACGAAAACAACUACCAAAACCUCGAUAUGCGAUUAGAGAGCUAGGUUUGAGGUUGUCCGUACGGUUGUACGGAAAUGGAAGAAAAUCCGAGAAGGAAGGAGAGAGAGAGGGUCAACGGGAUUGGUUGGUGUGUAUGUGUGGUCCAGGUUUGGCCAACCAAGCCAAAAACAAAUAAAAUCUUAAGUUCCAAUUGGGUCCAAAUCUUUAGGAAAGGAAAUAAUUGGUCAAAAUAUUAAGCUCAACACACAACACAACUCAACGUCUAAGGGUAAAUUAGUCAAUUCACACCAUUGAUAAAUUAUAUUUCGGGACAGAUUGUCACAAAUUUGGUUAGAUUGUAUAUCUAAAAUACACCUCAUGAUUAUUAAUUAAUUUAUUUAAGGAAUGCUAUUCAAUAUUUAAGGAAUUCCGUUCAAUCUAAAUUAUAUGGGUAAGUUUUCAAUAAUUAAUGGAGGUACGUUUGCUUGUAUAGUUAUUUGGUUAUAUUGUACAUUUAGUUUUCUAUAACGUGAGUGCGUUUAAGGUUUAGUAGUACACACUUUUUGGUUCCUUUUUUUUUUUCUAGCAGUUUAUCUAAAAUACAUAGAAGGAAUUCGAAAACAAGAUCUCAAGUGCAAGAGAACAGUCUUAACCAACUGAGCAUUAUCUAUUAAGAUUUUUUCCUGACAUGAAUUAAUUUCUUAGAUUAUAGGUUGGCACCACAAUAAUAGAAAGCAUUUUAAUUAAAAUUCUAAAACACAUAAAUGUAUCUAAAAAAUAAAUAUUUGAGGCACCUAAAUCUAAACCCUCAAAGUUUAAAAUAUCUAAAAAUAUGGGAAAUGAUGAGAAACCGGUGAUCAGAUGUGGAAAACUAUGUUAGGGAGAUUAUAUUCAUGGACAAGGAUUGUCUCCUUGCUCCCGUGCCCUCCUAUGCCCUCCUGUUUGUGUGGUCACGGUUAAGCCACGUCAAUAUUUUAUAUUACUAUUCAUUUUUGUCUUAUUAUCUCUAUAAAAAACAAUAUAAAUGUUGACGUGGCUUAACCGUGACCACACAAAACAGGAGGAUACGAGAACAAGGAGGGCAGACAAUCCUUGUCCUAUAUUCAUAUACUCCAAAUUACUUCCCCAACACUCUUUUAAUUUUUUUAAUAUUUUCUAUCAAGUGGUGUGAAUAUAAUCUCUUUUUUAUGUUAUUGCUUUCAUUGCUUGACGAGCAACGUAAGUUAUUCCCUUUUUAAUGGGUAAAUACUCACAUAUCCUUUAUUGUAUUUCUAUUUAUCUUUCUCAUCAUAUAAAUGACUUUAAUGAAAUAUUUCAUAUCCCUCUAAAUAGGUUAAUUUUUUUAUAUUAAUAAAAAAUUUCUCCCAUUACCGAGGUUUCUUAAAGAAGAAGAAAAAAAAAACAAGAGAGAGAUUCCAUGUCGACAUGUGUUAGUCUUCAUUUUGUCCACAUAUAGUUCCUGCAAGAUGAUUACGGUUCUGAAAUGGAUCAUUCAAUUUUUGGGAAGCGAAUCUUGUAUUUUGAUGAUUUAUUUUGUUUGGCUGCAUGAGUCAAUAGCACGUGUAAAGAAUUAUUCUGUCGAUGGAAACUUCCAUGUCUCUUGAGUAUAUUGGAUUGCAACACAAUUUCUUAAUGGGAUGGGUUACCCAACAUUCCUAAAUUCUAUAUGCUAUAUUCUUCCUUUUUCUUUUGGGCCACUUCCACUUCAGUACUGCCUUUAUGUGCUAUAUUUACCUUUUCACUAAUUUUUCAUUUAAGGUGAUUAAGUGGUAAAUCCAAUUAUCUCAACAUGUAUAGAAUUACCUUGAAUUUUGUGGCGUAGCCUAGUAACCGCAUCCAUUAGAAAAUCAUUUGAAACCUAGCAAGUGUCUUUUAGGGAUGGCACGAAGUCUCUACAGAGUCUUGUACUUCUCAAUAAUGACUAAUUGAUCCACAAUAAGAACUCUAUACGCUUGCGGUUAUGUUCUUUGUAAAGUCCGCACUCUACUUCAAAUUAAUAGGCCUAUUUUUCAAGAAUGGAGAACCCCUAUAUAGUUGUUCUCCCCUUGGUGCUGGUUGUUAGGUUGGAUUGUUGGUUGCUGUUGUUUUCAACCUUCCUGCAUUUUUUGUUUUUAACUUGGCCUUUAUUGCAGUUGUUGUGUUUGCUUCUGUUGGUUCUCUUUUAAUAUAAUCAUUGAAUAUACUUAAACUCCUUUGCGUACGAAAACCAUUUUCUUUGUCAAUUUGCACAAAAUAGAAAGAUUUUAGGUCAAUGGGGCCAACAAUACAUGAAUAGUCCGAUACCGAAACCUAAAACACCACAGUACAAGACAAGUUUAGUUAAUUGUCAUUAUAUAUAUAAUAUAUAAUGUUUCUAAAAGCCGCAGGAGUCGCUUUAAGUAGAGUGCAUGGACAACUCAUAUUUAAUGACAUGGAGCACCUAGAUUAUUGGGUUCAAUAUAUGGAGAUAACCUCAUUUGAUAUAACGAAAGAAGUUAAGAUUCCAAUUAAAAGCUAAUUGAAAAUAGAGGGAGUGAUUCCACCGUUUGUAAGCUUAUGCAAGAUUCUUUGAUUAUCCAAUGUGAAGUUCAUUCUCAAUAUAGGAGACCACCACCAAUUUCAUUACAUAAUUUAAGAGCAUUCACCACUCCACUUGAGAAUUUCUCUUUGUUUCCUCGUUCUCUCCAUUUUAGUUUCUAUUUUAAAUAGAAGAACAUAUUCAUUGCAUCCAAAAUUCAUAAUGUUACACAACGAAGUAUGUAAACAAUUCAGAUUCAUUACAAACGAAGCCAACUCCCAGACACAUUAGGUAGAAGAGUAAGGAAAAAACAAUUAAGGCUCUGCUAAUAACACCUAAACUUACAACUAAUUAUGUAGCAAACUGGAAUAAUUUUCAGAAAACAUAAUGUAAAACAUCAUAUCCUGCCCUGGAAACUAUAAUUACUACCACUUAA
rnacentral:lncRNA from 1 species